rnacentral:lncRNA from 1 species
GUGAUAAAGGAAACAAAGUACUGAGUUUAUUGAUAACGAUAAAUGGAUACAACGUUCGCAAGUAACGCAGCACCACUUCUCAUCUGCAAGAGUCUCAAAGAGAGAUCCAGCAAAACGAUGAGGAAAAGCUUGAGAACAAGCAGAGAACAAAAUAAAGAAGAAGAUUACAAUCUCAGAUUUAGCAUAAUAAUGAAUAAAGCGUCUUCAGCUUCUUAUUAACCUCAAUCCUCUGCUCUUAAUCUUCAGAACAUCCUGGCCAUUGCUUUUAAUCUUCAAUUACCACCGUCCACGUGUCAUUGAUUUAUCACCAUCCUUUUCUCUUCUUCCUUAGGUGCUGUUAACUUCUCACGGCUACCAACUCUUUUCCAGAACUGGAAAACAUCACCAAACUGUAAGCCAUCAAAGUCAAAUCCACAAAAGAACUGUGAUCGAUUUUUCUCCAAGAUUGCAGACGUGAAAUCCUCAAGAAUAUAACCUGAUUCAUCGGUACCGAACAAAUUUGUCUUUGUCACCAUCAUCUUGGCUUGAAUCAAAUCCGGUUUCAAAUUGCAACUCUGCGUCUCUAACUUCACUUUAUUUACCUUCACAGAUUCUGGUUCUUCUUUCAUCAGAACCAGCGAUUGAAAAUGGUCUAAGCAGCCGUUAUUCUCUGUAAACAACUCGAAGCUCUCUUGAUUCGAUGAUUCUGAUAUAAGCAGCUUUGUUGUUGUCGUUGCUUUGAACUUAAACCACCAAGUCUUUGAAAAUGUUUCCCUUCUCCUAUUUUGCAAUAAGUGUGUUCCUAGUGGAAUUGAACCAAACACUUGGCGUACACUACUCGAAGCAAUUCCAAGAUCAAAUUGCGAUUGCGAUAGUUGUAUCCUCACAACUGUUGAUGUCAAAUCAUCAUAACGUAAAGCCUUUGUCUGAUCAUAAACAUCCAUAGAUUCUAUAGAAGACCUACGGCUAAGUUCCCAUUGAGGAUUUGAUACAUGACGUUUGAGAGGCAAACACAUACGAUGAACCAAGCUAGGUUCUAGAACUGAAUCUGUGGAAUGAUUCUUGGCUUGUUCUUGAAUCAUUUUUUUAUUUUCAGUCAAUGAAUCUGUGUCACCAGUCUCUAAAUCACAACCAAUUGCAUUCGACAGCCCCAUAUCACUCGAUAUCUUAACCGCAAUUUCUUCUAAUUCAAUAGCAUUAGAGAGACGAUCUUCACUAUCUAUCAUGAGAAUACAUGCGUUCUUGUGUCUCAGAUGGUGAUCUGGAGUUUCAGAUUCAUCACAAAACAUACAAAGCCCCUUUGACCUUCUCUCUUCCAUUUCUUCCCAAGAGAGGCUUCGACGAAUCUUCAUUGUGCGAUUUGACGGUGGAUUACUAUUAGUAGCUUUGAUCUUAUAGUUUGGUUUUGGAUCUGGACGAUUGAGAUCCUGUGAAUCUCGAACUUGCGGCGAGGCUGAGAGAGCAACGACUUGCAGAUUCACCUCCUCUGCGUUCCUAGAUCGUGAUGACGGAUACAUAAUUUCUGGAGUCGCUGAAAGCACCGGAGAUGAUCGUUGCUGUUGUAGAUGACCACUCGAUGAUGAGUGAUUCACUUGAUCGGAGAAGAGCUGAAUUGCUUCCCGCAGUUUAGCCAUACGCUUGUCGAUCUGAAGAUUUUGUGCCGCAAUCACUUGUUCAAAUCGCGAUCUAGUUUCUGCCAUUGAUUUCGAGGAAGAAUGGCUCUGAUACCAGUGAUAAGGGAAACAAAGUACUGAGUUUAUUGAUAACGAUAAAUGGAUACAACGUUCGCAAGUAACGCAACACCACUUCUUAUCUGCAAGAGUCUCAAAGAGAGAUCUAGCAAAACGAUGAGGAAAAUCUUGAGAACAAGCAGAGAACAAAAUAAAGAAGAAGAUUACAAUCUCAGAUUUAGCAUAAUAAUGAAUAAAGCGUCUUCAGCUUCUUAUUAACCUCAAUCCACUGCUCUUAAUCUUCAGAACAUCCUGGCCAUUGCUUUUAAUCUUCAAUUACCACCGUCCACAUGUCAUUGAUUUAUCACCAUCCUUUUCCUAUAACAGAAAGGUAACCUCAUUGAAGUCCAUUAUAGGCCUGCAAAACAAAACAAUAUUUAAUACUAAAGAUGAUUUCACAUAUAUCUAACAAAUCCUUGUAUAGAACAUACCAAAAUCUAUUGCCAAUUAAUGCUAAAAGAAUCAAAGCAUUUCAAAACCAAAAAUACAAAACAUACCUCACAGAGAAAACAAGAAGCUACGUUUUAUCCUGAAAAGUCUUCAAAUGACCAUUGAGACGCUCAUAGGUUCCAUCUCUGUUUCACAAUCUCACCAUUAGAAAAAAAAUACCUCCAAAAAUAAAUAUGAUCACACCACAUAUCAUACAAGAACCAAAGCUACUAACCGCACCGACUCCAUUUCUCUAGCGUCGAAAGUUUCAUUCACCCUAUAAGAAAAGCACAACAACACCAAUUACAAACUUCAUAAACUAACCAUUGUACCUAAAAACAACUCUUGCAUUUAUCAAAAUGUUUACCAUCUUUUACAGUCAAUUCGUCAUGUUCCAUCAUCAAGAGUGAAUCUAACUUCUGUGACUUUAGAGACAUCUUUGCCACACACUAAACCAACAAGUGAGUCCUGAAUUGUACCAAAAACAUCACACAAUUGAGUAAAGCUCGUAUUCAUAUUGAAGAAUAACGAUAUACAGAGAAAUCUAGAAAUGGUAUUUAUGUUUGUUAGUGAGAUUCCAUUUAUGUUUUUUUUUUUUUUAAUUUCAAAUUUCCAUUAAAAGAAAAAGAUUAUAAGACCAGGAGGCCCAACAAGCACACAGGCCCAAAAAGAAAAAGAUUACAAGCCCGUAGGCCAAAAGGCACGCAUGCCACGAAAAAAACACAAAUAACAAAAGAACAAAGGCCAGCAGCCCAAAGUGCUACCUGCCCAAAGUGCUACCUGCCCCAAAAUAAACAAAACCUGCAGAGAAAUAAGGAGGAGGGAUUACAAGAGAAGAGACCUAGCCUGGAAAAGACCAAACCAAGUACACAACAAGGAUGAUCCAGGCUGCACAACAGAUUGAGCCCUGGAAAGCGGAUCGAGACGAGUACGAAUUAUGAGUUGAAUCUCCUUAAUGAUGAGAUUGGAGGGUCUAGCAACACCGGAGUGAAUUCGAAGGUUACGCUCCUUCUAGAUAAAGUAAAUAGAGGCUUGGAAAAUCAGUUUGAUGAUUACUCGAAGCCGAAAGUAACCAAGUAAGGCAAGCCAUGUACUGAGAUGGAUGAUUCAGACGAGCCGCAGCUGUGAAGAACCCCCAAAUGUCAGCACUGUAACGAUACUCAAAGAAGAGGUGAUCACGAGACUCCGAAAGGUCAUUGCAGAGAACACAAACUUCCGGAAUAAAGAGGCCUCAUCUCGUAAGUCUGUCCCUUGUGUGUAACCUAUUCCAAGUUACAACCCAGCAAAUAAAAGCAUGUUUGGGUACCCGGUCUUUAAACCAGACAGCCUUGUGCCAAGGGACCGAGAUGGAGGUAAGGUAAAGAGCCACCCACGUGCCAGCCGUCGAGAAUUUGUUUGAAGGAGGAUGAUUCUCAAGCUUCCAACGAUAAGAAUCAUCAUGCUGACACUCAAACACAUUCAUGGCCACAGGGAGAGAAUCCUUUAGCAUCCUAAUAACUGGGUUCCUGCUCCUACUAGAAGUAAUCCACCAGUCAUUACCCCUGAGAGCAUCUCUUACCACAUCAUUAUAAGGAAGACCCAACAAUUGCGGCCCAUUAAUACCAGCCAUGUCAUAGAGAGGCCCAAGACCCGUCCAAUUGUCAUACCAAAAACUAGCAGUGACAACCGACCCAACUUCACAGAAAAGGAAGGGCCUGGCCAGCGGUCUAAGCUUGCACAACUGUCUCCAAAUCCAACUGUCCGAGAUUGAGGGAUUAAGGUCCCAAAAGUUUCUUUGACCAAUAAGAUUCAAUCUGACCCAAGAAACCCAUAGUGACCCAGCCGCAGUGAAAAGCAACCAAAUUAGCUUCAGCGCAAGGACUUUAUUCCAAGAGGACAAACGUUUUAGCCCCAAUCCUCCAGCCUCCUUAGAAGAACACACAAUCUCCCAAGAAAUCUUUGCUCCCCUAGCCGAGUUAGGAGCCCCUGUCCACAAAAAAGCAUUACACAUCUGCUCCAAUUUCAGUAAACAUUGGUUGGGAAGGAUGAAGAUAGAGGCCCAGAAAUUAAUAGUAGAAUAGAUGACGGAUUAUAAAAGCUGAAGUCUCCCAGCAAAUGAGAGGUGGCGAGCGGUCCAGGCAGUGAACCUCAAGUUGAUUCUGUCAAGAAGAGGUUGAUAGUCCUGCCUUUUCAUUUUUUGAGCCAUAAGAGAAACUCCCAAAUAUCUCACAGGGAGAGAUCCAUGAGCGACACCAAAACUAGCAGAUAAUAACCGAUUUCUCUCAAAGUCUCCACCAUCAAGAAGCAAAGCAGUCUUUUGUCUAUUAAUACCCAGCCCUGAGCCACUCUUAAACACAUCUAAAAUAUUCAGAAUCCCAGCAAUGGAAGAUUCAGACCCGUCACAGAAAAUCAAAACAUCGUCUGCAAAGCUCAAAUGAGUUACCAUUGGCGCCAAGCACUUGGGAUGGAGAGUGAAGAGGCCAUUCACCGCACCAAGGUCCAAAGAUUUGGCGAGAAUAUCCAUGACAAGAACAAAGAGAUGAGACGACAUUGGAUCCCCUUGCCUAAUCCCUUUCUUCCCUUGGAAAAAACCAAUCACCGUUAAAGGCAAUGCUGUAGGAAGGAGUACUAGAAAUACAGACCCAAAUCCAGUUUAUGAACAGAGGAGGGAGAUCCAUAGCCUUAAGAAUAUUGAUUAGGAAAUCCCAGUUAACAUUAUCAUAAGCCUUUGUGAGAUCCACCUACAAACAGCCUCUGGAAGUAAUACCUUCAACUUGAAAAUUAUCAACCAAUUCUGAAGCCAAGAGCACAUUGUCACACAACAACCUCCCUUUAAUGAACCCCACCUGAUUGUUCUGCACCGCCUGAUCAAUAAAAAGCCUCAGCCUCUUGGAGAUUAAGCGAGUGAUGACCUCAUAGAUUGUUGUACAACAAGCGACGGGUCUGAACUGGGUUAAUUGAUCAGCCCCUGUCUCUUUGGGAAUAAGAGUAAUGGCAGUCGCAUUAAAUCUCUUCAACAGGUGACCUGUUACAAAAAAUUCCCUCACAGCCGCCACAGUACAGUCCUUAACAAUAGGCCAAGCUUCUACAAAGAACUCCACCGGAAAUCCAUCAGGACCCGGAGCUUUGUUCCUGGGCAUGGUAAAUAGAACCUGAGUAAUUUUCUCCUCACUAGGGAUAACUGAAAGCUUAAGAGCAAGAGAAGGAUCACAACGAAAAGGAUGGAGCUGACGGAUUCUAUCCACCGAGAAGGGAGUGACAAUAUCACUAGGAGUGCUGAGCAGAUGCGUGUAAAAGGCCACUACCAUACCCUUAAUCUGAUCCACAUUGUCAAUUCUUGUGUCAUCCGGCCCUCUAAGGAACUUGAUAAGAUUGUUCGCAUGAUGAGCCAAAACAUCUCUAUGGAAAAAUCUUGUAUUCGCGUCUCCCUCAUGAAGCCAGCGAAUCCUUGAUUUUUAUCUGUAAAAAGACUCCAAAGCAGCAGCAAAGAAGUCCCAUUUUUUCCUAGCCACGUGUUCUUCCCUGAAUAAUGAAUCAGUAGGGCUAGUGAGUAAGGCAAUCUGCAAUGACUCUAACUGGGAAAGAGCCAGAUCAGUUCUCUGCUGAAUGUUGCUGAACCUAAGCCUAUUCAAACUCCUGCAAAACAGCUUUGCAGCUUUUAAGUGCUCACCCAAUGAGAACAUAUGCGAGCCAAUUGCAAUAUCUUUCUUCCAAGCCACAGAUAAGGAUGGAAGGUAAGAAAGAUGGGUAGAGAGAAAAGAGAAGUAUUUGAAUGACUUCUUUGCUCUACCUGGCUGAUUAUCAAUGGAGAUGAUACACGGCGAAUGAUCUGAAUCCCCUGGAGGAUCAAAAACAGCCAAGGCGCUUGGAAAAACCGAAAACCAUUCGCUGUUAGCUAAAGCUCUAUCCAAUUUUCUAAUGAUAGGAUUAUCUUGUUCGGAAGAUCAGAGAGAUUAUUAUCCCCCUGCUCGGAAGAUCAGAGAGAUUAUUAUCCCUUAAGCAGCUCUGGAAAUCCUCAAUACCUCUCAUGGAGAAGGAAAAUUGAAUGAUAGAAAAGUGUUCAUUGGUGGCAGCGACUUGGUUGAAAUGCCCAACCAGAAUCCAAGGAGUCUCUGAAAGAGGAGUAGAAGACGCCAACAAGGAAAUAUCCUCCCAAAGUAAUCUCCUCUCAAUUUUCGUAUUUCUCCCAUAGACAAAAGCAACCGCAAAAAAUUGGUUGAGAUUUGGCAGCUUGAUACUGCAGAUGAUAAACUGAUCCGAUUUUUUUAAAACCAAAACUGAAACAGAAGGAUCCCAAACAAUCCAGAUCCUCCCAAGAUCAGAGCAACAAUAGUUGCUAUCCAUUCUCCAACCUGGUAGGGUAGAGGCUAAAACAGAGCCGGCAUUCUCCUCAGCCACAUGAGUUUCCAAAAGACAACCUACCAGGAGAUUAUUUGAAGCGACCCAGCUUCUGACAAAUCUUUGUCGAUUACGGCUAUUCAAGCCACGAAUGUUCCAGCAAAAAACCUUCAUAUACACACAAAAGGUGAAGGCGAAAGCAAAGCUUUCAAUGAGGCAAAGAGCUGUUCGAGAACUCGCCUCGAUCAGUUCCAUGAGUUCCUGGUGUCGUAGACCGCAUGCGGUUGUGCCAUUUCUUUAGUUCUUUUUUCUUCACCUUGGUAGACAAAAAGCCCAACCCGGAGGGAUAGGGAAAUUAGGAUCAGGAGAAUGGAUAGAAUCUCUUUUGAGGCGAAGAAUACCUGGGGUUGACUGAACACAGACAGCCUCCACAUAUCCACUUGGUUUGGGCUGACGAGUAGAGGAAGAAGGCUUACCUCCAAUCUUCACAACCCAUUUCUUACCAUCUUCAGGUCUCUUCCCAGAAUGGUCCUCUAAAGUCUCAGGAGACUGAGAAUCCAAAAUUUUCGGAGGAAAACUCAAGGAUCGCUUUUUUGAUCUAGACCGUUUCCUUCUAGGCUUGGAGGGAGGCGUCAGUCCAGCCCCAGUCUGAGCAGAAAUCUCCUCAACCUUGUCAUGUCCAGAAGAGGGGAUAGAGACUGAAGGAAGAGACACCUCUUUGGAUCCAGACGGCUUAUCUUUCUUAAAAGGCGACUUCUUCAAAAGAGGUUGGGGGCAUCUACUCAACAAAUGCCCAUAUUUCCCACAAUUCAAACACUUCAGAGGCGGCCUGGGGUAGUCAACAGCCACCCGGGCAAUAUUCCCUUGUACAUCACGAACAACAACUGUGGAAGGGAGAGCAAAACCCAAAUUUAUGACCACCUUCACCUUUGUGGUACCAAUAUUAACCGGAUCUAGCCAUGACUUCUCUGUAUGAAGAGGUUCCCCAAUUCCACUUGCAAUGACGCUUAUACCUUCUAAAGAGUACAGCUGAGGCAGGACAUUCUUCAGAAUCGCCCAAGUUGGAGCCGUUUGAAGUUCUUCAAGUUUUAAUAGACGUUCUGGAGACCAAGGGUAAACUGUACAAGAACAGUUACCAGCUUGCCAGAAGCCUAUAUCAGUAACCCAGUUACGAGAAUUGAUCGCCGGAAUGAAAAUCAGAGUAGCUGUUUCAGAAAUAAUCCUCACAGUGAUGUCUCCAAAUUUCCCCCAAAUCGGAUUCAAAUCAUUGAAAAUUCUUGACGAAGGAGGACACAGUCCAUGAAACUGGGCCACAACAUGUUCUUUCCACAUCUCUGCCGUCUUCAACAACACCGAUGGAAGAGCAACCACAACCGGAGUACCGUCUUCCAGGAAAGUCGGCGAACUCAUUUACUUCAGGUUACGCAAAGAAGCCUUGAACUUUGAUGCCCAGGGAAGGUCCAUCUUCGGAGUUUGAGACUCAGAUUCACCAAUGGGAAUUGAGGUAGUCUGUGAAGUAAGAGUAGCACCAGUCAACGGUAAGCUGCCUGGAAGAGUACUCGUGACCGCUGUGGAGGAGAUCUCAGACACAGGACCGAUAGGUCUCAAGGCACAGACCUCCGAGAAAGAGGGACGAAGAGGAGCAGCAGUCGCAGAAGUGGAUGGAAGACAAGUUCCAUUCCCCGGAGAGCAAGAUGGGAUAGAAGACACGGCGCCUAUGGAGGAGUUCUCAGACACAGAGCCCUUCAGAAGCAACGACUCAACUGUUGUUGUAGGAGACUGAUUAGAGCAACCCUUAGUCUCGACCACCACUGUAGAGUCGGAAGCAAUUUGACCAGAACUGGCCGGAGAAGACAACGAAACCACCAUUGGAGACAAAGGAAGCGCUCCUUUACUCUCAACAAAGGUACCAGAAGCCACCGUAGAAGCAGCAGCGCUCGACGGAGACAGAUCGGGAUUCGCAGAUCCGGAGGAAAUCGGGACAUAAGAAGAAGAUGUGACGGCCAAAACCCUGGAGAACUUCGAGAUACACGGCGCAGCGAACGGAAGAGGGAGCUUUUUCUUCUUAGCCAUGGAGGCUUACUCGCCUACCGGCGUGAGGCCAGCCGACGGCGGCGUUAGGUUAUCGACCACUAAUCGCCUAAUUUGUCGAAGAGAGAGAAACGCUUUUCCCGUGUUCUCGUUUUAACAUUCGGUGAUUGCACCAAUAGCUUUGGUUCAAAUUAAUACCCUUACUACAUACAUGUCAGCUUAACUCUAAAUUUAACAAAUUGAACAGAAAUUUGGAAGAAAAAAACAUAACUAGAUGAAAGCAAAAAAAAGGACUAUAAAUUAGUUUAAGAACGGGAAAAAACCCGAAAAAACUGCCAUCUAUUUUUUUUUUGGCCGUUUAAUACCUGUGUUUUUAAAUUUGGAAUAAAAAUAUCUCAUUCAAUUUUGAUUGCCUUUUAAAACUAUCGUUGUUUAAAAACUUAGUAAUUUCGAACCCGAGACUUAACAGUCGUUAUUGGGCGUAAAUAUGUUACCAUAUGCUCACAAUACAUUACAAGUAAAUCAAUGUCGUCGGGUGGUAUCGUGUGUCUUUCUGUAUACCACGAGUGCUUGGUUCGAAUCUCAAUCCUCCGGGUCGCCCAAGGGCUGAUUUUUUUUUUUCUUCUCUUUCUUCUUCCUCCUACCUCUUUCGCCUCCUCUGUUGAUAACUCUGUUCACCUAAAGGAAAGCUAAAUUUAUUAGUUUUUUCUUCUCUAACGCCCAACAAAUGCAGAGAUUAGUAAAUUGUUUAGAUUCAAUGGACCAAUCUUGACAACGAAAAAGACCAACCCUAGAUUCAAAAUUUGAAAUUUUGAGGAAGAAGAAAAAGAAUGAGGAAGUUUCGGCGGCGACGGCUGAUGGUCGCCCUAGGGUUUCAUGCAAAAAAUAGAAACCACAAAGUUAUAGAAAUUUAACAAAAAAAAAAAAAAAAAAAAAAACCAAGCCAACAUUCACUGGAGUCGAACCCAGCUCCUGAAAUUUACAAAACCAACGCGCAACCACCAGGCCACAUUGACAUUCUCAUAAUAUUUUGUGAGCAGUUGGUAUAUAUUUAUAUAAACACGUGAGGUUAAAAUUUAAUGCUGUUAAAUAAUUCUGUUACGCUCAGUAACAACUGUUAAGUCUCGGGUUUGAAAUUACCAAGUUUUAAAGACAAUCGAAAUUAAAUGAGGUAUUUUUAUUCCAAAUUUAAAAACAUAGUUAUUAAACGGCAAAAAAAAAAUAGAUGGCGGUUUUUUCGGGUUUUAUACAAAAGUUGAACAAAAAUUAUUAACUCUAAACCAAAAAUUAAGACAAUGAUCUAAUAUCAUGAUAGAAAAAGAACAACUAACUCCAAAAAAGAUGGCCAUGUAAUGAUCAAAUGUCUCCUUUAUCAAUUAUGGUUAAUAUUCCAGAGUCCAAACUCGAAACCAUCUCAUCCACAUAUAGCCAUUUCUUUCCCUAACCCAUUAAAAUACAAAACAAAUAACCAUCAAUAAUUUUUUCAACUGAAAAAGGAAGAAAAAUUGGUGACCAAAAAUAAAAGAGAGAGAAAAAGGUGGAGAAAGGAGACCAAAAGUAGAAGCGUGGCUUACUCCAAUUGACGGUAAACCCCUUUGACAAGUACAAGCACUUGACAGUAUAACAAAAGUACAACGAUGGGUGGAGAUUGGCCAAAAAUCCAUACUCAAAAGAUUUUCUAUUUCUUUAUUAAAUCAUAUUUUUAAAAAAUUAACAUCCAUAUUAAUUGAAUAAAAUUAUAAAACUAGGAAAAUUCUUAAAAUUUAAUAUUAAUAUUAUUAAACUAAAUUUCGUAAUUAUUUUUUAAUAUAUCUAAAUAUUUUUUCAUAUAUCUAAAUAUAUCUUGGUUUCAAAGCUUUGAACUUUGAAUGAAUUAGAUGUGUCUGUUGAAUGGAAUUGAGAAGAUUAGAGUUUUGUUCGGCUAAUUACUUGUUGAUUGGCAUGUUUAAAAAUUUCCUGCUUGGGAACCUUAAUCUCUGAUUAGUGUUGUUAGUUUCAUGAUCCAAGUGAUUACUUCUCUUGAGAUAUUGAUGUGUUGUUUAUAUCACUCUUAGGUCUUAGCAACAGCCAGCAUCUAGAUUUAGACAUGCAUAUACAGAUAUACUACAGAUAGAUAUCUAUAACUGUAAGUAUCAUUUGUAGGUUGAGAAAAUCGCGAUAUCACUGCCGUUUUCUUGUAUUCUUGGUCUUCUUGCAUCCAUGACCGCAUCAACCAUGGGUAGGUCUUCUUUUAGAAAAUUCUAUUUCCAAUGUGCCACUCUGAUCCGUUUUAGUUCUGGAAUAUUCCUAUGCAGUAAUGAGAAGAUUUGUCUGGAUUUACGCAUCUGUCCAGUUUGCGUUGGUUGUUCUCUUCGCCCAUAUAUUUUACUCUGUGGUUAGUGCUCUUCAACACAUCUUUUUUUCUUCCCUUGUGAGACAUAUAUUGGUUAAACGUGGUGCAAGGCAUAUCAUUUAAGCUAAAAGGACUUGUGAGCUUUUGGUUUAGCCAAUAUAGAUCAAGACUUUUGAGAUCUAUACGAACAAAACUCGACAUAAAUGUGCAUCCUUUUAGCCAAUAUAGAACAAGAAUUUUGAGAAGGCUAGAGCAACAGCUGAACCAGGCUCAGACGCCGCCCCAACCGCUGGAUCCAACCUCCUCUCUGCAUCAUUCGAAUGCCUUAUAGAGCCAAGAAGUGGAAAGAAGAUUUUACAUUUAUACAGUAGUUUGGUUAAUGUUGUGUAAUAUUUUGUAUAAAAAGAAAAGAGAAAGUGAUCAUAGAAUGCUUAAAGAUUGUUCCUUUUGUUUGUUUUGCUUCUUUACAUACACAUUUAUAUUGUUGUAAGUUUGUAACUUUGAGUUGCUCAAAUCUCUGCAAAUGAAAUGUUUGUACUUUGUAGUAGUAUUGGUUUUUAAACUCUUUUUUUUUUGUAUAAUAAAAAGAAAGAUUACUCAAAGAAAAUAUAAUCAAAUUGAAUAAAUGAGUAACGAGGUAAUCACGUGCCAAUUUCCUGAAAGCUCUUCUUCUCUGUUUCUGACUUACGCUUAAGUCUUUGUUCUUCUUCUUCUCAACGACGACGGUGUCGAGAUUAUUACUUGCGAUGAAUUUCUCCACGAGGCUCGCUGAGAAACUUCCCGGAAUCUUACCGGUGCCGUCUUCUCCUUUCCUUCGUAAAGGUUGGUUCUUUUUAAUCUGUUCUGUUUUUGUUUUCUGAGAAAAUUGGAUUCAAUUCAAAGCUUUAUGGCUUCGCCUGUGAUGCUUGGUAAUUGAAAAAUCUUGGAAUUAAUUGCAACCUGAAACCUAGGAAACGAAAUAUAUGAAAAUAUCUGAUAUUAUGCCUUAACUGUAACGAUUCGUUUUUGAAAAAUAUCCAAGAUUUUGCAUUUAUUUCGGAACCGUUAAAAUUGGAUACGUUAUAUAUUAACAUUGGUAAAAUAAAUGUUUUUUUACGGGACGGGUUUGGCGGGACAAGUUUUCGAAUCAACAAUAAUUAAAAAAAUAAAAUAUUAUUAAUCCACCGCUUCAAUAUGGAUUAAAUGUUUAAUUUUUUUUCUAAUACCACAAAUAUUAGGCAUAUCAACUCAGUCUCAUUUAGAAAAAGUUGUAUAAAACCAAAAAUUGUCUCGUGGUAUAAUGUUACUUAAUAACAAUGGUAAACUAUAAAAUAUACAUGUCUUAGAGAAUGAUACAAUUUGUAAACUUUUAUAUAUAAUAAAUAAUCGUUAAAUUUUUAAAAUUAUUACUUUUAGAAAACAAAUCACGGGACAUGUUAAGUAAUUAUAUUUUGGAACGGAGUUAUAUUUUGGAACGGAGUUAUAUGGUGGACGAGUUUGAAUCAAUAUUUAGAAAAUUUUAAAUAAUCAUUAACUUGCUGCUUUAAUACAGAUUAAAUUCUUAGUUUAUUAAAAUAUAAAUAUUUUAGAGAAUGAUAUAAUUUGUAAACUUUUAUAUAUAAUAAAUAAUCAUUAAAUUUUAAAAUCACUAUUUUUAGAAAACAAAUCACGGAACGGGAUAAAAAAUUAGAGGACGGGUUACCACAUUUUCCUUCUAUGUGGAUCAUCCGGACUGUUGGUAGUUACCACGUUUCACUUUUCUUUUUAAUGAGAUCAAGAUCGGUGAACAAUUGUUCUAUUAAAUAACUAAUCAUUCUUUUCUUUCCAAUUAAAUAUGAUUCAAUCUUUUUGAAUUAAACACUAAAUAUAAUUAAACGUUGACAAGACAAAAAAAAAAAAAAAAAAAAAACUAAAAAUUUAAUACAAAGUCCGUGCGAUAAAUCAGAACUUGACAAAUAAUUUACAAAUAGUAGUACUCCUAGUAGAGAUCAGAACUUGACAAAUAAUUUCAACGCAGUUUGUCUUCUUGCAAAAUAGUUCCACGCUAUUUAAAGGUGGGCUAGUGGAAAGAGUGUAGAACCCACUUUUCAAAAGCGCAUCAACUACUAUAUAAAUUAAUGAAACACCCAACAAACAAACCCACACAUUAAAUUAAAGAAGAGAGAACUUUAGAGGUUAGAGAGAUGAAGACGCAACAUCUAUGGUGGGAAGUUCUUGAUCCAUUAUUGAUACAACAUGAAGCUCUUGUUGCAUUCUUGAUUUUUGCAGUGGUUGUGAUUGUGGUUUACUUGUACCGACCCUCCUGGUCCGUACGCAAUGUUCCCGGUCCAACCGCCAUGCCUCUAGUUGGUCACUUGCCCUUGAUGGCUAAGUACGGUCCUGAUGUCUUCUCCGUUCUUGCUAAACAAUAUGGCCCAAUUUUCAGGUACCACUUUCUCUCUUGAUUCUGUUUUGAGUGGACAAUUGAGUUUUUCGGUUUUCAUGAAAUCAAAAAAAAAAAUUCAUUUAUAAUUUAGUUUGUUCGGUUUACUGUAAUUUUUUUGGUUUAGAGUCAGUUUGAUUUUAAAUAAGGAAAAUAACUCUCUGCAAAUAGUGUUUAACUUCUGUUUAACACAGCCCUAUAGUUAAUAUUGUAUUUUAACAUAUAUAAUUAAAAAAUAUAACUUUUUAAUGAAUUCGGUUUAUUUAGUUUGAUUUGAUACAAAACACUAAAAUUAGUCAGUUUUAUUUUUUUGUCAUUUUAAAAUAAUGAAACCAAUUUUAACCAAAAAAGAAUAAUUAAUAAUGAACCCAAAUGGAUUAUAAACAUAUUCCUGUUUGAUUUUAGUUGAAACAUUUUGGUUUGAGACUUGGUUCAAUAUGGUUUAUAUGGCCAUCUCUUGUGGUUUUUAUUGACUGAUUGAUGAACACAACAAGUGUCUAAAAAAUCAAAAAUGAAGACAAGUGAUCAUGUCCAAUUUUAAAUUAACAACAACAAAAAGCAGAUUUCAGAUGGGGAGGCAACCACUGAUAAUAAUAGCAGAAGCAGAGCUUUGCAGAGAAGUUGGGAUAAAGAAGUUCAAAGAUCUUCCAAACAGAAGCAUUCCCUCUCCAAUCUCAGCUUCUCCUCUUCACAAGAAAGGCCUCUUCUUCACUAGGUACAUCUAUGCUCUAUAAAACUAUGUAUACUUUUGUUUCUAUAACCAUUUUAUGAUUCUUGGACAGGGACAAGAGAUGGUCUAAAAUGAGAAACACCAUCCUAUCUCUCUACCAGCCUUCACAUUUGACUAGUCUUAUCCCUACAAUGCACAAUUUCAUCACUUCUGCUACUCAUAAUCUUGAUUCCAAACCGCGAGAUAUCGUUUUCUCCAACCUCUUCCUUAAACUAACCACGGAUAUUAUCGGACAAGCGGCUUUUGGAGUCAACUUUGGUCUUUCCGGGAAGAAACCUGUCAAAGAUGUAGAGGUGGCUGAUUUCAUAAACCAGCAUGUCUACUCUACAACACAGCUCAAGAUGGAUUUGUCUGGCUCACUCUCCAUCAUCUUAGGCUUACUGAUUCCGAUUCUUCAAGAACCGUUCAGGCAGGUUUUGAAGAGGAUACCGGGAACAAAGGACUGGAGAGUUGAGAAGACUAAUGCAAGACUGAGUGGACAACUUAAUGAGAUUGUGUCAAAGCGAGCUAAGGAGGCUGAGACUGACUCAAAAGACUUCUUGUCAUUGAUUUUGAAAGCUAGAGAGUCCGAUCCUUUCGCCAAGAAGAUAUUUACGCCGGAUUAUAUCAGCGCUGUGACUUAUGAGCAUCUUCUUGCUGGCUCUGCAACCACUGCUUUUACAUUAUCCUCUGUUCUCUACUUAGUCUCUGGUCAUCUUGAAGUUGAGAAACGUCUUCUUCAAGAGAUUGACGGGUUUGGAGGCCGUAAUUUGAUCCCGACUGCUCAUGACUUACAAUACAAGUUUCCAUACCUCGAUCAGGUGCUUCAUUUAACAAACAAAAUCAAAAAGUUGAUUUUCAGUGAGGUAUUUGAAUCUUUAUGGAUGUUUUUGAUUUUCCUCCUUUGUAGGUCAUCAAAGAGGCUAUGAGAUUCUACAUGGUUUCCCCUUUGGUUGCAAGGGAAACUGCAAAAGAAGUGGAGAUAGGAGGUUACUUACUCCCUAAGGUAUAUUCAUCAACUCGCUCGCACUAUCGGAUGCCACCAUUCAAAUCCAUCAAGUGGAUUAGUUCACUCUAUUACUUACCUUGUUGUUGUUGCUUAGGGUACAUGGGUUUGGUUGGCACUAGGAGUUCUAGCAAAGGACCCGAAAAACUUUCCAGAGCCGGAGAAGUUCAGGCCGGAAAGAUUUGAUCCGAACGGAGAAGAGGAGAAACUUAGGCAUCCAUACGCUUUCAUACCAUUCGGUAUCGGUCCACGAGCUUGUGUUGGACAGAGAUUUGCCUUACAGGAGAUCAAGCUCACCUUACUGCAUCUCUACAGUAAUUACAUUUUUAGACAUUCCCCAGAAAUGGAGAACCCACUACAGCUUGAUUAUGGUGUAAUUCUCAGCUUCAAGAACGGUGUUAAGCUCAGAGCCAUCAAAAGAUUCUGAUUCUUGAAACAAGUGAUGAUAUAUAAACUUAGAGUUUCAUAAUGAAAUAUAAGCAAAGACUGCAAUUUUUAUAUUUAAAUUCAAAACUCCAAUGUAGUUCCAAAGGAAAAAGAACAAUUAACAACAUACACAGAUAUCUCACAACACAAGACAACAACAAGCUGUUGAAACUUCCCUCAAGGAAUUGACAUGAAUCUAAACAAGGUCACAUUACCCUCUCAGCUUCUCGAAUCGAGUAGGAACAACGAGUGGUUUAGAGAAACUAACAUAGGAAGGAUCUGAGGCAUGACUAGUCUUCAACUCCCCAGUAAACAAUCCAGAGUUCUUCAUAAACUGAAAUUCAUCCAUAGAUUGCCUGAGACCGCGGUUAGUUCUUCGCUUAGCCUUUGUUGAUUCAGUCAAGCUCAUGUAACUUGGCUUGUUCUUUUUUGCUUGACUGCUAGAGUUAUCUGAAACAAGGCCAGUAUUUCCAGAAACAGGUGUAGUUGAAGUACAAAUCGAAGAUGAACCGGAGCUUUCAUUAAACUCAUAACCAGGACUUGAAGACAACAUAUGAGGAGGAGGUUUUGCAGAUACCCUAGUGGUCACAUUGUUUCUUCUAACUUUAACAACAUCCACGGUUUCGGGUGAUUUCAAAUGCUUAGGAGGCGGAGGAGGAGGCGUGGCAGCGGCAUCAACAGUGUCCAUAAUUCUAGUCUCCCAUGGCCUAGCAGCCAUCCAACGCUCCAACCAACUCCAUCCCCAACUAUUCUUAUCAAACUCUUGACUUUUAAGAUAUGAAAUCGAACUAUUCGUCUUAAGGUUUGAGCUAGUAGUUGACCUCCAUUGCUGCACAAAAUCGGAUUUUCGAUUCAGACACGAACUUAAACAAGAUGUUAAAUGUAGACACAUUUAGUUAGUUACCUUUUGAGCUAGAGCAUAAGCCAAAGCACGUUCUCUCUUAAAAGCACCUUCUUGUCUCUUCUGCAACUUUGACUUAAUAUCAUCCACAGUACCUUUCCUAUCACACCACCCUUCCUGAAAACAUAACAAAUCUCAAAACAAGAAACAAUCUUGACAUGAAUAAUCAAUGCCAAUAAACACAAAGAAAAAAGACAAGAACCUCGACUUCUUUCAAAAGAUCAGAUUUGGUUCUGUGUUCAUCUAAAAGCUUUUGAACAGCUUGUCCUUCAACAGUCAUCCUCACACGACGAGCUCGAACACGAGCUUGUACUCUCACCAAAGCUUGCAUGCAUCUUAAUGUUACAGCUGCUUGUUUCCUCACUUGUCUCCCUCUAACUAAAGCUUGUAACCUCACUAUCCCUUUCAAUGCCCUCAACGCUCUUCUCGCCUAAUUAAGUAACAACAAAUUCUCAAAUUAGACUAAGAUUGGUUGCUCUCAAUUCUAUAUAACCAAUUAGAAAACUCACCAAGAAUCCACGAAAAGCGGUUUGGAUUCUAAUAGCAGCCCAUUCUUCUCUUACAGCUUUGAAAUCUUUAGGAGGAGCUCUAAGCACAGUAGCAACAGCAGCAGAGUAAACAGUUGAAGAAUCAAGACCCUCUGAUUCAGACCGAUGUUUACCUCGAAAACCCUUCCAUGAAUCCACUGAAGUAGUCCUCCAUAGCUUCCAUUUCUUGUUUUUCACAUUACCCUUUUCCUGAAAACAGAGUAUAUCUCUAAAGCUUUAACCUUUGAAUGAGAGAACAACAAAAAGUUAAGAAAUUUGGGUACAAGAACUUACGAUUUCAUCUUUCUCUAGCUUCUUGUGACCAAUAAUGGACUUGACCCAUUUCCCUGAAGCACCCAUAGAUGAAAAAGAUUCGAUCUUUAUGGCUCGUUUUACUUCAGGUAUGUAGAAAGUUUGAGAGUGAGAGAUUGAAAGAGAGAGAAAGAGAGAGAAUAUCGGAGAAUGUGAAAUUGUGGUGGUAAUGGAGGGAGUGGUGGGUUAAAGAGAAGUUUUUGAAAUUUGAACAAAUCAAAGCAAAGCAACAAAAAAGAAUAUUAAUUUAAAAAAAAAAAAAAGUUUGCUCGAGUCUUUAGGCUUUUGUCUCUGAUUGUGUUUCCACACUUAUUUAUUACUUACACAAACAAAUGUGUCUGUGUCCUUCUCAGAGUUACAGGCAUGAAAAAGAAAACCAUGAAAAGGUACAAUUAAUUAAUAAAUAUAUAUAGAGAUUAGGCUUUUUGUUGUUUUCUACUUUUUACAGGAGGACUCACUCAUGUUCAUGUAAUGCCUUGUUUUGUUUUAUUAUUCUUAUAUCAUUGGAUUCGAAAUUUAAACUUCCCAAAAUGUUGCAAAUCAGAAUUACGAAACACAUUCUCUUUCAAAAGCAAUGUUAGCUUUUGGAUUUUGUGAUUUGGACUAAUUAGACCUAUGACUUGUCUAAUUAACCUCUCUAACAGAACUUAUUAUUAUAAUAGAAAAAUUUGCUUUUACAUUCUCUACUUCUUUAGUGACAAAAAAUAGUAUUGAAACAAUUUCCUAUAACUGUAGGAAAAUAUUAGAAUCAUUAUUACAAUUGGUUUAGAAAACAUUCCUCGUAACAAAUUAUGCCCAUUACAUCCACUCCCGUCCAUAAUAUUUUAAAUGAUGUUUUAGAAAGAAAACAAAAUACUUCAGAGUAAAUGAUAUUUUCAUUAUUCUAUGUAAAAUGUUUAUUUUUUAAUUAUUUUUUGUGACCAAAUAUGCAGAAUUUGUUUUUGGUUGAAUAGUCUUUGUUUCUUUUAUCAACCAUAAAUUAAUUAAAAGGUAACUCUAUGGUUGAAUAGUCUUUGUUUAGAUAACAAAUAAUGUAAAAAAUGAUUUGUUUAUUUAUUUUAUGAUUUAUGUCAUUUUCAUAUCUAUUUACAAAAACAUUAAACUUCAUCUAAAUUAAAACAAAUGAUGUAUUAAACAGUUUUAAAUUAUGCAAAACAUACCGUCUUUGUUUUAGUAUAACUAUUUAAGUGAUGUAUAAUGUUUUUACACAGAUAAAAUUCUAACAUGUUACUAUUGAUAAAACUCAAAAUUUAUGACACAUUCAAUAGAAAAAUAGGAAAGAAUAUGUAUUUUUUUUUUUCAAAAUUUGCGAAAAUAUUUCAACAACAAAACUAAAUAACGCGCCAAAAUAACAUGAUAGCAAAAAUAAAUGACGCGCCAAAAAAUUAAACUUGACUAAGAUUAUUCAUUGAACAAUUUAUUACCUAAGAACACAUAAUUCAUUUUUUAAUGUUUUCUUUAAGUCUUGUGGAUAAAAAUACAUCUAUUUCUAGAAGAAAAAAAUCACUGAAUGAAAAAAUAGGAAAUGUGAAUGUUUAAAUAUAUGUUUUAAUAUAUACUUUUCAUAGCCAUAUUAUGGCAUGGGCAUAAAAACCGAAACUGAAGAACCGAACCGAACCAAACCGAAAAAGAAGGUUCCGGUUCGGUUAUGGAUACUGCUAAAUACCCGAAUGGAACUCAGUCACAAUAUCCACUGGAUAUGGAUAAUAAUCGAACCGAACCGAAUAUCCAUGGGUACCCGAAUGGAACCGAAAAUGAACCCUCUACAAACAUACAUCUAAGACCAAUACAUUUUGUCCCAACCUCUAACCCAAUAGGUUUUUGUUAAUUUUUCGAUAUUUUAGCCUAAUAUAUUUUAUUCUAUUACAAUUUUGUCAAUAAAAAAUUAAUAUAUUGGGGUGUUUCGGUUUUUUUUUGAGUAUUUCGGUUUUUUUUUUGGGUAUUUUAGGGUAAAAUAACCGGAACCGAACCGAAUCGAUAUCCAUUGGACUUUGGUUAUUUAUCGGUUAUUUUUCUAAGUAUCCAAACCGAAUCGAACCGACAAGUAACUAAACCGAACCGAAACUCUUUCGGCUCUCUUAUGGAUCCUACGGAGUUGGAACUGAAGAACCAACAACCGAAAGAACCGAAGAACCGAAGAACCGAACGCCCAUGCCUAGCCAUAUACGUCUCUGGAGUAGACGUUGUUUGAGACAUAACUUCACGUUUGGCUCAUAUUUUAAGUUUACAUUAGACUUCACGGUAAUGUAUGGAGAUUCAAACAUAUCUUUAGAGAAAAAAUGUAACGCCCUGACCGCCAUCUCUCUUAGUGGAUCCCACGUCCUCUCUCAACCCGUGGGCCCACCAUCUUCCGAAGGCCGGUUUGCUACGUCCGGGAGGCUUUAAAGACUUCUUUACCGACCCUAUAAAUCACCACAUGAUCUUUCCCUGUGUUUUGUCCUCACUCACACAGUUCCGACAAUCACUUUCCGGAAGGUCACCCAUCCUAAAACUACUUUAGCCUAAGCAUGCUUAACUGUGGAGUUCUCUCAGGACGUUUGACCGAAAAGAUAAGUGCACUUUGGUGACAUAGGUGGCCAAAUCAAUUCUUUUAAACCUCUCCGCAUGCACCACCAUAUUCCUGAAACUAGGAUGUUACAAAAAAAAAAACAUAUAUUUAGCGGUAAUAAAUGUUUUGUUUCUCUCUAAGAGCUAAUAUAUAUCUAGACUAUAUGGAAAAUAUGUACCUAAAGAAUAUAAUUGCAUAUGUAGCAACCAAUUUGUUUGCAUUUACGAAUGCACUUCAAGUAGUUGUGAAAAAUGCCUUGAAAGCCUCUCCUCCCCUUCAACUUAACGUCAGAAGGUUUGGUCUCUAUUACCCUCUUGUGUAUUGUCCAAUGGUAUAGAAAAUAUCCUCUGUUAGUUCUCCUUUACUUAUGUAUGAGGUUUGUACCUCAAUAUGAGGAUGUUAGACUUAUCAGAUUGGAUCAAAGCUAUGUUGGUAUGGUUGUAAUGUCUUUUAUCGGAAGUAGGCAUCUUUGUAGAAAAUCUUUGGCGAUUUUUGGUUCUGGCUUUGGUGUGAAUUUGUUGGUUUCAAGUUCUCUCGGAUCACUUCUAUGGUGAAUCCGAUCUUCCUUUUAUUGAGGACGGUGUUAGACUUGUUUUAACUUUCUCUGUGGCUAAGGAGGGUGGUGAAGUUGAGGUCCUUUGUGAUAAAACCUCUGAACCAUUCCAGUAAUUGGUACAGAAGAUAGAAGAGCAUCAAGACACAUUUGCUUGUCUUCCCAAUGCAUCUUGGAUGUCUAAGUCUAGCUGCUACGGAAUGCGGUGGUUCAUGGAGGAAUCACUUAAGACAUCGAUCCAACAUGGAUCAUCUUUUCGACCCGUUGUCUCCUAUGCUCUAGUAGCGGAGGAACUCGCUUUGAAGACGGCGAUCUGUGCGGCCUUAGCGGUGGGUGUUUCAAGGUUGGCUUAUUAUUCGGAUUGGCAAGAACUCCCCCUUCUUCUCAAUAUCGGAGGCCACACAUUUGUUGUUGACGAUAUCGUUGAUGAUAUGUGAUAUGAGCUUUGGCUAAAAGUCUUGAGCCAAAUUAGGGGUGAGUCACUAGCCGGUCUAAGGACCUCUCUAACUAACUCGGAUAAGAUGGAGAUGGAGGAUGGAUCGACAAGAACCACAAUAGAUGUGAAAGUCUAUUGAUACUUCUUAGAACACUCAAGAAUUCAGACACACUCACGAAUUAGAGAGCAAAAGAUUUUGUGGAACACAAACAAGCAAUUUUAUUAAUCAAAUGUGAAAAAAUAAGGACUACAACUCAAGGCAUUAUAUAGCCAGGUUCAUUACUUAUUCUAAGAGAAAAAACACAUAAAUUCUGCAAGAAAAACAAGGAAAGACAUAACACAAAAUCAAAAAAAUAAAGGAAAGAGACGUUGGUAAUAAAAGAGAAUAUCAAGGGUGCCGAUUAAGGUAAGUUUGUUCUCUUGACUUUAAAACAUGAUUCUUCUUUGGUCUUGGAGUCUUCUGGACAAAAUGAGAGCCUUUUUAGAUGCCUUCUAGCACCAAAGAACACGUUCUUAAGUGGACUUCAAGUUUUGGGGUGAAUAAAGCCCAUUUGGCCUCAUUGUUUAUUAGAGAGUCUACCAGACAAACACUUGCUGUUCGGCCCAUAUCUGGAGAUGUAUAGCUGAUCUCUGGAAGCUCUUUGGUUCUCUGGAAAGUAGACUCAGAGAGCUUCAAUUUGGUAUGUGGAUCGUCUCCUGGAUCAUCCGGAAUCGUUGGUUGUACUUCGUUUAAAACGGCCUUUAGCUGGGAGCUCUCGGAUGAAGUUAGGCGAAUGGCUUCAAACUGAUUUAGAGGGAUCAGUCCUUCACGUUCCAGCUGUUCCACGAAGAUGUUGAACUUCUUUUCUAGGCCUUUGCUCCUGGUCCUAGUCAUUGGGCCGCUUGGUACAUAGGGAGCUUGAAUAAUAUGACUUGGUGGUUCGAUGUCCUCAUCAAUAUGACUUGGUGGUCUAGGCCUUUGCUCCUGGUCCUUCACUUGUUUCUCCAACUCCUUAGCUUCCUCCGGGUUAACUCGAUAAGCGGCUCCUGGUCCUUCACUUGUUUCUCCAACUCCUUAGCUUCCUCCGGGUUAACUCGAUAAGCGGCUCUAUUAGGGAAUGGUGCACCCGGAACCAAAUCUAUUUGAUGUUCAAUUCCUCUUAUAGGAGGUAGACCAGGGGGUAUUUCAUCCGGAAAUAUCUCAGCAUACCGGUUCAAAAGGUCCUUCACCUCCUUAGGAAGAUCUUGUUCCAAAGCACUAAAACCUGCGUUCAAAACUUCCUUAAAGAUCAUUAGUAAUACCAGUUCUUUACAAGUGAGUGCCUUAGCUAUGUAGCUAGGUUUGAUCAGAAAAUUACUCUUAGAAGAAGAACUCUUUUCUUUAAGCAUCUUAAUUUGAAUUUCAUGCACUUGAUUCGGGGUAAGAGGGGUUAGAUUAUAUUUAUUUUUUAUCAUGGACAAAAGAAUACAUGUUACUACGCCCAUGGUGCAUGGUAUCCUUAUCAAAUUGCCACGGUCUACCAAGUAGAAGGUGACAAGCUUGCAUAGGAACCACGUCACACAAGACUUGAUCCAUAUACUUUCCCACUUUGAAUGGUACUUGUACUUGAUCCGUGAUUUUCAUCUCAGCCUUGUCAUUAAGCCAUCGUAGUUUAUAUGGAUGAGGAUGUUUAGUCCGUCCAAGGCUGAGUUUUGAAACCAUGUAUUCACUAGCAACAUUAGUACAUGACCCACCAUCUAUGAUAAGAUUAUAUACCUUGUCUUGGACGGUGCAACGGGUAUGGAAAAUGUUUUCUCUUUGAGCUAACUCAUCGGGAUGAACCGUGAGGUUCAAGACACGCCUUAUGACCAGUGAUUCUCCAUACUCAGGUUCACAAUCAACUUCUUCAACUACAACAUCAUCCAUGGCGACAUCUACUUCAUCUUGUGACUCGUAUUCUCCCGUGUUCGUGAGAAUCAUUACUCUUGUAUUGGGACAAUCUUUAGCCAUAUGUCCUUUGCCCUUGCACUUGAAACAUGUUAUAUCACGAGUUCUUGAAUUAUUAGGGCUAGGGAACUUACCUUGGUUAGGCUCGAUUGGCUUAGACUUGAAUCGAUUUUCAAUAGCCACGGCUUUGCCUUUGUCCAAGGGCUUCACUUGGGAGGUUGAUGAAAAAGGUGUCUUGGCACCUUUUUCAUAAGCUGCUUCAUUUCCCUCCAUGUGGUCACUUGAGGAGUAUCACUUCUUCUCCUAUCACUAACUUCACGAUCCCACCAAGACAAAGCGUGAUUGGUAAGUUGAGCUACGGCCAAGGCUAGCUUCUUUUGGUCGGUGUACUUGUAAUAGGCAAAUAUGUGCUCCAUUCGCUGCUCCCACUCAAGAUAAGCUUCUGGAUCUACCCUUCCAGCAAAGGUAGGAGCCUUGAGCUUCAUAUUCAUGGAAUUAGGCCUUAGACGGUCUUCUUCCUCUUCUUCCAUUUCUUGAUUAUUUCUUUGAGCCCUUCUUCUUCUACGGUUGUUUUGUGGUGGCUCUCCAUCACUUGAGUCAGUCUCUUGACCAUCUUCACGAUCAACACCAUUCUAUUGUCUUUGGUUGCGGUUUGCUCGAGGUUGCUCGACUUGGACUAACCGUUGUUCCAUGGUAGUGAGUUAUCGUUGCAUUGUUUGCAGGAGUUGCAUCAUAGCAGCAUUGGGAUCACCGGUGUUUUCACCCAUCUCACCUGAAAGUAUUUAAAAAUCAGAGUAUCAAAUUCUUUGGUAAGAGAUAACAAAACAAUCGAAUUGAUCUUCUUACUACCAAUCGUAUCACAAAUCUUAUGUGAAUGGAAAACCUAUGAAACUCAACUUUGAAUUUCUAACAAACGUAAAUGAUCAGUACAAACUAAAGACAAAGGUUAACACAAAAUAAAUUUCAAAGCAACGAAGUUUUUGGUUUUUUUUUUUUUUUUUUUUUUUUUUUUAAAAUUAUUUUAAAAAUAGCAAACGAAUUUUAAAAAUAAUGACAUAAAUUUUUCUGGAUUUUCUAGUGAUUAAAUGAACUAAAACAGCAAGGAAAAAAAAAAUUUAUGGAUUUUAUAAAAUUGAAACAAGAAAAUAGACGAAAUUUUAUUUUUAUGGGUUUUUAUUAUGAUGAAAUUGAGAAACAGAAUUGAAACACUUAGAAAAGAACGAAAUAACCUGAUAAAAUAGGAUGGCUUUGAAGCUCUGAUACCAAAAAUGAUAUGAGCUUUGGCUAAAAGUCUUGAGCCAAAUUAGGGGUGAGUCACUAGCCGGUCUAAGGACCUCUCUAACUAACUCAGAUAAGAUGGAGAUGGAGGAUGGAUCGACAAGAACCACAAUAGAUGUGAAAGUCUAUUGAUACUUCUUAGAACACUCAAGAAUUCAGACACACUCACGAAUUAGAGAGCAAAAGAUUUUGUGGAACACAAACAAACAAUUUUAUUAAUCAAAUGUGAAAAAAUAAGGACUACAACUCAAGGCAUUAUAUAGCCAGGUUCAUUACUUAUUCUAAGAGAAAAAACACAUAAAUCCUGCAAGAAAAACAAGGAAAGACAUAACACAAAAUCAAGAAAAUAAAGGAAAGAGACGUUGGUAAUAAAAGAGAAUAUCAAGGGUGCCGAUUAAGGUAAGUUUGUUCUCUUGACUUUAAAACAUGAUUCUUCUUUGGUCUUGGAGUCUUCUGGACGAAAUGAGAGCCUUUUUAGAUGCCUUCUAGCACCAAAGAACACGUGCUUAAGUGGACUUCAAGUUUUGGGGUGAAUAAAGCCCAUUUGGCCUCAUUGUUUAUUAGAGAGUCUACCAGACAGACACUUGCUGUUCGGCCCAUAUCUGGAGAUGUAUAGCUGAUCUCUGGAAGCUCUUUGGUUCUCUGGAAAGUAGACUCAGAGAGCUUCAAUUUGGUAUGUGGCUCGUCUCCUGGAUCAUCCGGAGUCGUUGGUUGUACUUCGUUUAAAACGGCCUUUAGCUGGGAGCUCUCGGAUGAAGUUAGGCGAAUGGCUUCAAACUGAUUUAGAGGGAUCAGUCCUUCACGUUCCAGCUGUUCCACGAAGAUGUUGAACUUCUUUUCUAGGCCUUUGCUCCUGGUCCUAGUCAUUGGGCCGCUUGGUACAUAGGGAGCUUGAAUAAUAUGACUUGGUGGUUCGAUGUCCUCAUCAAUAUGACUUGGUGGUUUCUUCCUCUUCCUUUCUUCUAUCUGUUUGCGUUUUGAAAACUCCUUUGUUGCAUGUAUUUAAUCUUCCUUCUAUGGAGUUUGAGCUAUAUUAAUUUAUGAAAUGGUUUUACAAAAAAAAAAAAAAAAGAAAAAAAAAAAGCAAGGUAAUUUUGAUAACUAGUUAGAAUCCGUUAAUUUUUACAACUAGUUAGAAUCCGUUCACGACUGCAAAAGAAUUGGUUAGUGGGGACUCAUUUUUAUUCCUUAAGUAUAUUUUACCUUCAAAUUUAAGAAUUCAACAAUUUUCUCGUUCGAAAACCGGUAUUAGAUCAACUAAUUUCUUUUCCAUCUUGUUUAACUGCGCUUUUGAUAUCUAUUAAUUACACUUGAAAAAAAAAAUUCUCGUUCCAAAAGUUGUUAAUAUAUAAACUAAACUAGGCAUUCAUAUUUUUGGACCCAAAUAUAGUAACCGGAACUGACCCAAAUUAGGAGGUACCCAAUCGAACCGGAACCAAAAAAUACUCGGACUUCGACUACUAUAACCGAAGAAUUUGUAUCUAGUCCGAACCGAACCGAGAAUCAAAUUGUUCUCCGAACAUAUCUUAAACUAGAUUUUAACCCACGGUAUACCGUAUGACGAUUUUAUUUUUAAAAUGAGUAAAUUUUAAAAUUUAAUGGUUAUAUAUUACAUAUAAAAGUUUACAAAUUGUAUUAUUUUCUAAGACAUAUAUAUUUUAUAAUUUACAAUUAUUAAAUAACGGUAUACCAAAGAAUAAUUUUUGUUUUAUACAAUUUUAUUUUAAUCAUGAUCAUUCGAUAUGUCUAAUAUUGGUGGUGUUAAAAAAUAAUAAAAUGAAGAUUUAACCCGUAUUGAAGCAGCGGGUUAAUGAUGUUUAAUUUUUUUUGAUUCAAACCCAUCUCGUCAUAUAGCCAUGUCCUGCAAUAUAACCGUCCCGUGUUAUUUUAACUCCUUAUAUAUGUUCAAAUGUUCUUAAUAUUAUAAACUUUUUAUUGAUUUUAAAUAUAUAAAUUAUAAUAUUUAAAAGGCAAUUGACAAAAAUAGCACCAAAAAAGUUUUUUUUUCCGAAAUUAGCACAACAUUUCUAAAAUUCCACAAAUAGCACUCUAAACUUUAACUAAAUAGAAAAUGAGAGAAAACACUAACCUAAUAUUAAAUUAAAUUAAAAUUUCUUUUAAAUAUUAGAAAUAUAUACCCUAAAAUGGAUAUAGGGAACCCAAAUAUAAUACCACAAACUAAUAUUAAAAUGAAUCAAAAUCUCUUUUAAGUGGUAGAAAUAUAUACCCUACAUGAAAUAAGGAACCCAAACAUAAUAAAAUAAAUUCAAUAUUAAAAUAAAUCAAUAUCUCAUUAAAAUGGUGGAAAUAUACCCUAAAUUAAAAAUAGAGAACCCAAAUAUAAUAUUUAGAAUUUCUUUUGGUUGAAUAGUUUUUAUAUAAAAAUUUUGGUAUUAUUGAAAAAAAUAAACUAUUGAAACAAAAACUUAAUAGUGCUAUUUUUGGAAUUUUAUUAAAUGUGUGCUAUAAUUGUCCAUAAAACUUGUUUUAGUGCUAUUUUGGAGAAUUUCUCUAUUUAAAACUUCUUGAAAACUACUCACGCUAUAUAACCCCGUCUCGCAAUAUAACUCGUCAUGUGUUAUUGUAACUCUUUAUAUAUGUUCAAAUGUUCAUAUUAUUAUAAAUUUUUCUAUUCAUUUUAAAUAUAUGAAUUAUAUUAUAUAAACACUUUUUAAAAAUCUAAAAUUAAAUAUAUGCAAUAAAAUUAAGCAGUUAAACUAAAAACCGAAUUAAACGGUCUUUUUAAAUUUGGAUGUUUGUUAAGUUAAGCUUUUUAUUCAUUCGGAUUUGAAUUCAUUUUGAUCUUAUUUAUAAUAUGAUUCUGAAUCAUUGUCCAAAUAUUUUAGCCAAUAUAGGACGUUGAAUACACACAUUUUUCAUCAAUUGGGUAAUAUAUAUCCGUUUUAAAAUAUUGAAUCACAAUAUAUGUAGAAAAAAUAAUUGAGAUUUUUUAACUUUAUGUAUUAAAUAGUUAAAAGAAAGUUUAAACAAAGAUGAUAGGAGAACCGUAAUUUUAAAUCUUAACUAAAUCUUCUAAAUAUUUAUAUUUUUAAACAUAAAAUAUCCUGUUCACAAUUUCGGAUAUGUUUUGAGCAGAUCCAAAGAAAAAUAUAGAAUAUCCGGUGUAAGUUCUGAAGUAAAUUUUGUAUCGGAUUGGGUACCAAAACCUCGGAUAAAUUUUUAACCCACCCGGUACAAAAUGUAUUUCAAAAAUACUAGUAUACAUAUAAGUACAUAUAUAUAUACACAAAAUAUUAGGUAUAUAAUAAUAUAUAUUUAUUUUUUUGGUAUUUUUGGUUAAUUUGGAUAGUUUUGGAUAAUAUAAUUAUAAAACAUUUCUGUGUUUUUGGAUUUUCUAACUAUAUUUAGGUAAAUUUGGGUAAAAAAUAAUCAAUUUGAAUUGCAUCUUAAAGUUUCACUUUUCGAUAACUUUCCUGUUUUCAAUAUAAAUUCCAGAAUUGACACGAACAGGAAAAAACCAAAAAUUUUAAAUACCAAAUGAGAAUUACUUUAGAACCCAAAACCCAAAAACAUAAUUUAUGUUCAAACAUUGUUUGUGGUCGGACAGUCUAACCAAUAGGGUUAUUGGCCCAGAUUUUAAAAGUUUGUUCUGGUAAUAAGCCCAUGUGUCAGAUCUUUUCUUCUCGAACUUUAAUUUAAAAAGCAGUUUGAAAUUAAAAACUUCGACUGUUCGCUUCAUAGACUGGUUGGUUUUGAGUCAACGGCACGCAUGCUUCACUUAAGAAUAAAUUACAGAUUAUGUCCUUUUUUGCACAGUUUGUAGGAAUUGCCAUUUUUGGGGUUGUGCUUUGACGAGAUUACCCUCCGCGACUCUUCGUCAUCAAACUUUUUUUUUUCGUUUCACCCGUGCAUUUACUUCAGCUGGCCGAGAAAGAAGUCAGACAAACGUGUAGCCAUAACUCUCUGUUUAAAGCACAGUACAUCAUUACUUUCCCUCUCCCCUUUGCUUUCUCCAUCGUCUGCGAACACAGAGAGCUCACCGCCGGAUCGUCCGUUCCGGCGUAAAAUUCCUAGAUCUAAAAUUCAUCGGCAACGCUGCAGCUGGUAAUUUAAUCGAGCUUUACUGUUCUCUCCAUGUCGCCAUUGCUUGCUCGCUUCCGCAUCGCUUCUCUGUUUUUUUUGCAUGUUCCAUAUACCUAUCUACCUCGCUUCUCUGUUGUUUCCGUUUAGGAUAUGUGGCUUUUUUUUUGUAAAACUUUAGUUUCCUGCCGACUAUCUUGCUUAAACAGUCCAUCAAUUUCCUCUGUAGUUUCUGUCUUAGUUCAACAUUUCAACCCCAAAAAUGACAUUACUUUGAUCUGUAGGUUCUCGCUUUCUUCAAUGGGUUCGCUUGGAUCUGGAGCUUCUCCCUCUGUUGAACCUGGUUUGUAAUUCUGCGACAUGUCCCCCUCUCUUUUUUUCCCACUUACUAUUGUUUACAUGUCUACUUGUUUUUGGUCACCUUGGAUUUUAGGCUUUACCAUAAGUGUGCACAUUUCUGCUUGGGUUUAGUUGAGACAUACCUCUUAGGGUCUAGUUUCCUAUAGGGUUUGGUACUGUCUAUAUUUCUGCUUGGGUUUAGUUGUCCCAUGGCUCCUAGGGACUAGUUUCCUAUAGGGUUUAGUACUGUCUAUAUUUCUGCUUGGGUUUAGUUGUCCCAUGGCUCCUAGGGUCUAGUUUCCUAUAGGGUUUAGUACUGUCUAUAUUCUGCUUGGGUUUAGUUGUCCCAUGGCUCCUAGGGACUAGUUUCCUAUAGGGUUUAGUACUGUCUAUAUUUCUGCUUGGGUUUAGUUGUCCCAUGGCUCCUAGGGUCUCGUUUCCUAUAGGGUUUGGUACUGUCUAUAUUUCUGCUUGGGUUUAGUUGUCCCAUGGCUCCUAGGGACUAGUUUCCUAUAGGGUUUAGUACUGUCUAUAUUUCUGCUUGGGUUUAGUUGUCCCAUGGCUCCUAGGGUCUAGUUUCCUAUAGGGUUUAGUUCGGGUUUUAUAUACCCUCUGCUCACUGUUUUUAUCUUUAAUGUUUGUUGUUUCUUAUUAUUUCAGGUGUUCUCCCUAAAAGAAUUUUUGCUGUUGAUUGCUACCCUUCUCAUGCAGUUCGUAUCAAUUCUUAUUCAAAACCUAAGUACCUGCUUGAGAUUUUGAAUGUUCUGCAAGGUAUGCCAGAGUUGGAGACUCUGCUGUCCUCUCCUCUUGGUUCCCUCUUCUCUCUGCCUGUUCGUCAAUGUUCUUUUUCUGGCCAACUGGUUCAUCAGAUGCUCUGUAGACAGUUGCAUACAACCAAUCCUUCGGAAAUGUGGUUUGUUUUUGGUGGUCAGCCGUUGCGAUUUUCGCUAAAGGAAUUUCAUGAUGCCACUGGGUUGUCUUGUUGUGAUUUCCCUCCGCAGUCAGAACUCGAGGCUGCAACAACUCAUGCUGAUGGUUCUUCACCUUACUGUAUCAAUUAAUUGGAGGUACUCCUGGUGCUGUCACAGUUAAGGAACAUCUUGCCCGCCUUAAACAGGAGCCUACUAUGCCCAGUUGGCGUAAAUUCAGGCUUUGUCUGGUUGUUAUUGUAGAAGGUAUUUUACUUUGUCGCUCUCAACCAGUUAAAGCAUCUGUUGAAGUUGUUGAAAUGGUGAAAGACAUUGCAUUCUUUCUUAAAUAUCCUUGGGGAAGACACUCCUUUCACCGAAUUCUGCGCACUGCCAAAGUUGGUUCAUAUAUACUCGACACUGCCUCCCUUGUGGCCAAGCUUAGACAAUCCUCUGUUGCAAUACAUGGUUUUCCUCUUGCAAUUCAGCUGUUUGCUUUCAAGUAUGUCCCGUUGCUUCUUAAGUACUUGCCUCAUGCUGAAGAAGAGUUUAAUUUCCUUGACCAAGUCAUUCCUCGUCUUCCUAAGUGCAAGUCAUACCAUUCUUCAAACAUUCUGCAUGUAGAAUAUUCACGACAUGUGUGUCCUUCUUCUUUCACUGUCCCUUACUUAUUUUUUUCCUAUUUCUUAAUAACUAAUUUUUUCUUUCCUUUCUUCAGCUGCUUGUUUUGCCUCCACCGCCAGCUGAUGCUGCCUUUCUCGCGUCUCCGCAUUGUGACCCAAAGGUUAAACAGUUAGAGGGCCUUAUUGCAUCAUCUUUUAACUUUGAUAAAUCUAUUUGGCCUAGUGGUGAUAGCUCUCUGCCAUCCCUAAGAUGUUCCCGAAAACGUAAAUGCAACCAUUGCCAGUCUGAUAGCUCAAGUUCUGCUGAAGAGACAGAUGUCAAAAAGGUUAAGCGGGGUCUGCGGUCUCGUUCUAAGUUGAAGGUUAAACGCUCUCAGACACUGCAUCCAAAAAAUCAAAAAACUUUGAAAGUAUCUCUUCUUGCUGAAGUUCGCGAUCUUAUUGACAACACUCUCCCUGAUAAUACAGUUGCCUCAGCGACUGUUAAUGUUACUUCUCCUGUUAAUCGUGCAUGUUCUUUGCCUCGGCGUGUCACACGAUCUCGUUCUAGUGCCAUGUCUGUCGAAUCAGUUGCCAACUGUUCUACAGCACCGAAAAAAGGCUCUGAUCCUUCUGCUAACCUCUCAGCUUCAGGUCAUACUGUAACUGACUCAGCCCAUGCCGUGGUCUCUUCUCCCAUCAUAACUCGCUCUUUAUCAACUGUUUCCUCUCAAGGUUGUACUGCUUUUCGCAAUUGCCCCACUGCUAGUCCUUCUAAUCAGGUAAGGGUUAUCUUGCUUCUCUUUUGCAAUGCAUUUCGGAACUGCUUCUACUAAUUUUUGGUUUUUCUUAUCUAGCCUGCUUCUCCUGCCGUCAGUGGUAACCAUGUUCCUGCUGUUUCAUCUCUCUGUCGAGACAAUAUAGUGCUUACUCAGGUUAUUUAAUGGUUACCAAUUGUUCUGCUUUCUUUGUUACCUUUCAUCUUGCGACAAUUGUACUCACCGAAUUUUGCUUGUUUUGUUUAUGUAGAAAACUUGCCGCAUUCCAUCUUUGCUUCAUGAAGCUGCGAAGUUCACCCUCAAAGCCUCCUCCAUUCCUUCCGCCAGUGAUCAUGUCCCUCCUUCUAACCAUGCUCUGGAAGUGUCAAACUCUCAUCGUCCUCAUCUCUCACCCUAUUUGUCCACUACACCAAGGGUUAGUUGUUAUCUGCUGGUACUAAUUGUGUCUUACCUGUUACACAGUCGGUUUACUUCUUUUCUUGGUUUUUUUCCCAGGUUGUCCCAAAGGAUAACAAAAAGCUGCUUCCAAACCAGGUUAGUACAUCAUCCACACAAUUGAGAGAUGUAUGUGCCAUCGACAGUUCUUCGGGACCUACUCCUUUGUCCUCACCUGUUAAACAUUUGCCCCAACGUACUUCCCAGAAAACAAUUACAAGGAGCCAAGCUCGCACUGCUUCACUUCCUCCUGCUAAGUGUACUCAACAGCUACUGGUUUAUGGGCCUGCUAUGAAUCUUCGUAGCAAGAAACAAGCCCCCAAGCCUCCUGUUGGUUCCAGUUCUGAAUACAUAUUAAGUACACUUGAAGCUAUAAACUCUCCGACUGUUUCAAAAUUUUUACUGCAACUUUCAAAGUUUCAGGGCAGGUGCAGCCUAUUCUGCAACCCUAACGCCUCAGUUAACUGUCUCUACUAUACCAUAUUAUACAUUCCUCCUCUUACCAUGUUUCUUUUGCAGUGAAUACACUAUAAAUGGUCAGAGAUACCCUGCUGCCUUCUUCUCUGACAUAUCUAAGCCUCAAAACUGGGUUUCAAGCUUGGUCAGUCUCAUCUUCUGCACAUCCCAUUAGUAUUCUUCAUUUCAAAUCUUAAGAGUCUCUUCCAUACUUUUUACUGACAUUUUUCUCUUCUUACCAUUGUUUUCCAUUGCAGCACAUUGCUUGCAUUGUCAGCUUCCUUUGGAAAAAACAUGGUCCGCACCUUGCAUCACGGAGAAUUACACUUCUGGACUCCAUGUUCACUUCCAUUAUGAGCAACAAAUUUACGAGUUUCAGCCAGAACCUCAAUACAUCUGCCUAUGCUUGGAACCCUCUUCUGAUUGCCUAUGCUCGUGGUGUAGUAGAUGGCCGUCCUUCUCAGUUGGCAUGGCUCAAAGAUGUUGAUAUUGUCUACAUGCCCAUGAAUUGGGGAAAGCGACACUGGGUUGCCUUAGCCAUAGAUCUACGUCGUGGUCAUAUUGACAUCCUUGACCCCUUUGAAGACUGCACUCCUGAAAGGAAGGUCGUCUCAUACAUGUCUCCUAUGGCUCAAAUACUUCCUUCUUUGCUUCAGUCUCUAUCUACCGAUGUCCCUGCUACUUGGCCAUCAACUGGCUUCACAUUCAUGCGAGUCCCUAGUCUUGCGCAAAAUGACCGAGGUGGCGACUGUGGCCCCAUGUCUCUUAAAUUUAUUGAACUGCACUCACAUCAGCUCACUUUGCCGCUUCAGCACCUUACACAGAAGCAGGUUGAUAGCAUCAGAAUGCACUACGCCAUGGAUCUCUAUGGGGAAUAUGUGUCCUUCUCUUGAAUUUUUUCCUGUCUCUAUUGCUAUUUUCUUUCGUGUACCAAUGACUUUACACUUCCUCUCCUUAACCUCUGUUCCUAUGCUCUGCUUCUACUACAUUCCCCAUACUGUUUUACCUCUUCUCACAUGUAACUAUUUUCCUUCGUAACUAAGUUGCGUUCCUUGUAUUAUGACAAUGGUUUAUGGUUUUAGCUCAUGUUGCAAUAUACCUGAUUUUUCUUGCCAUAAAUGUCAGAGCUCCUCACCCACUUAGCUAUUAAACAUUUAUUUGCUUGCUACCAGUGCCUCCAUGUUUUGCCUUUAAAAACAGAUAAUCAUUCACACUUUCCUUCUACCACAGAAGAAAUGGAAAAACUGGACAUCAACAUUGCUCUAGAUAUUGUCUCACGUGUUGGUGAGGAUUCGUUUAAGGCUCUUGGGGGUAUGCUGCUGGCUUCGAAAUUCUACCACUAUCUCGCAUCUCAUCCUAUUGUUCUCAACAAUGUCAGCCUUCAACCCUUCCUUGCAGAUGCAAGCCUUAUUAACGAAGACUCUAUUUAUCGUCCAUUCUUCCGCCUAUGUUUGGACUCUCUUAAUCCAACUGCUGCCUACCUUGAAAGCAUCCGCCUUGCUACAAAACUUGGGCGUGCUGAAGAUGCUCUUCGGUUGUUAUACUCCUCUGGCAAUAGUCCACCUCAAGCCUGGUUCUCACGGGCAUUAUUAGAGGUUUGCCUCGGCUUUUACCAAGAAUCAAUUGCCACAAUUGAUAGCUUCAUCUCGUCUGUUGGUUCAUUCCGUCAAGCUGAUGCUAUUGGUAGCACUGUCUUCCGGCACAUAAUGCAAAUUGGUCCAGUGAAGAUUCGUUCGCACGCCAACACUUGGCACUAUGGUGACAUCCCUACCUGUUUUGCUACUAGGUGCCGCAUUGACAGACGUUGCAGGCAGUGUUUUGUAUUGGUUUAGUGUUAUGUACCUCCUUCUUUGUUAAUCUCUUUUCAAGAUCUUAUUCCUAAAUCUUUUUUUUCUUUUUCAUUUUUGUAUCUUGUAUGUGACAGUUCCAGUAAAAGCAGUUCCUGUAUCUACACCAACGCUUACACAUUCUGGUUUCCAUAUCAGUUGCUAGUUUCAAGGCACUUUACACUGUCACUUUUCCUUGACACAACACGCAAGGGAACACACAGCUUUUAAUUACCACUUGCUGCUACUGUGCCACCUAUAUCACUUAAUGUAUGUCAUUGCACGCUUACUCCCCACCUGCAUUUCAACUCCAAAUACGUUCCCUCUCUUGCCUCUAAUUCCCUAUUUAAUCACUGUUGUUCUUUCUUUCUCCUGCAACCUCAGAAACGCAAACUCCAAAAAAAUGAACAUUAUUCCACAUCCUCUGCUUCUUGACAUUGUUCGGCGUCUCUCCCAGCAUGGUUUCAGAGAGUUAGGUUCUUUGGUAGCUGCUGGACCCGAGUGUAUGGCCCUUGCCUUUGACGAGACCGUCCUUGCUGAUGUCGAUAUUGAUGAAUUCGUCUUCGCACCACAUCUGGCAAAUAUUGGUUCUGUCUACAGGCCGUUCUUUUUACGGUGUUUGGACGCUGAUAAUCAUUCUGCCCAGUUCGUUGAAGGCUUACGCCUUGCUGCUGAAGCAGGUCCUUCCCAGCUAUCAAUUGAUCUGUUAGGAGCUGCUGCUCCACACAUGAUAUAUGCUAGGUUUGCCUUGGGAAUUGUUCUUGUUUGUUGUGGUUCUUUUGACCAAGGUAUGGUGGUCAUGGAAUCAUUUUUUAAUCUUCUUCCUAACAUUCCCGAAGCAGUUGAGAUUGGUGAAAUGUUUCUACAUCAAGUUACAUCCCUGAGAUUACCAAGGAGUGGUCGUUAUGACAAUACCUUUCGUUUUGGUCCUGGUCUGCCUAGUUGUUUUCUGAACAAUUAUACGGUGUUUUCCCUUUGUCGUCGAUGUUUUGUUUACAUGUAUGCAACUUGCUUUCGCGAUCUAUGCUAACUACAUCCUAUUCUCUACCUUGUACUCACCCAAUAAAUAAAGUACCUGCUGUUUUCCUUUUACACCAACAGAAGCCUUUUUCCAUUAAUACUUUAAGGGACAUACAUGCGUAGUUUGUUUGAGCAUCAGAUUAAUAUAUGGGAGAUUUGCAUGUUAAGGCACUUCGAGAGAAAGAUAUUAGACUUUAGACACUUUAUAAAGUAGAGGCACUUUAUCAUUAUUUCGGAGACAACGUAUGACGCUUCUGCCCCUCCGUAAAACAAAUAAACACAAACUUUACAUUAAUUCAUGUUUUAAUAUAGAUAACUAUACCCUAGACCAUACUUUGUUAACCCAAGCAACAAAGUGUAUACCCUAAAACCAAAUUAUACAAUCCCUAACUACUACUACUUUAUAUUAAUUCAUGUUUUAAUAUAAAUAACUAUACCCUAGACCAUACUUGGAGAACCCAAGCAACAAAAUCUAAACCCUAAAACCAAAUUAUACAAUACCUAACUACUAGUAGACCAUAUUUAGAAAACCCAAGGGAAAACCGUUCGCUUGGUUUCUGAUUAUCCCAGUUGGUGAUGGACUGUUUUGUUUGGACAACCAAUAAAUAAAACUAUACCCUAGACCAUAUUUCGUAAACCCAAGCGAAAAUAUUAUAAUUUCGAUUUUAACAUCAUAGGAAUACGAAAACUAAUAAUACUAAAAUAUAAACAAUUAUUGAAAUUUUAUAGAAUUUUCAAUAUAGAAAACUAUACCCUAUACCAUAUUUAGUAAACCCAAGGGAAAAUAUAAUAAAUUCGAUAUAUACAUCAUAGGAAUACCAAAACUAAUAAUACUAAAAUAUAAACAAGUAUUGAAAUGUUAUAAAAAUUUCAAUGAAGAUAACUUUACCCUAGAAUAUAUUUAGUAAACCCAAGGGAAAAUAUAUUAAUUUCUAUUUAUACAUCAUAGGAAUACCAAAACGAACAAUAUUGAAAUUUUAUAAAUUUUUCAUAAAGAUAACUAUACCCUAGACCAUAUUUAGUUAACCCAAGUAUAUUAAACGUAAAUGUGAAAUUCAUAUAUUAUUAAAACCUUGUAUAGACACUUUUUUUUAACUAAACUUCUAUAAUACUCACUAAUAAUUAUAAACCGUUCGCUUGGUUUCUGAUAAUCCUAGUUAGUCGUGGACUGUUGUGCUUGGACAACGAAACUCGUAUCUAUAGACGCAACGGUUCAUUGAUAAUAAAAAGUAACCAUUGCAUUCAAUAUUGAUCCUUAUUUUUGGCUUUUUCGUAUUCAUUGUCUUUUAGAGUUCAUUGAAUAUAGGAUAAACUAUUAGAGACUGUACAUACAUCCAACUAUGUUCGUGGCUUUCAGACUUCCAAUGUUUUUUAUAUUAUAUAUUAGUUACCCCUUUUUCUCGCCAAAGAUAGACUUUACACAUAAAAAAAAUAGAUAAAAUAACCAAAUCUUUCUGUCUCCACCAUCUCGAAGAACUAGGGAUUUAGGUUUUGCAAUUCGAUAUGGGUCAUUACCACAGUCUUUACGAGUUGUCACCUGUGAUAACGGGAUGAACGAUCUGUGUUAUGGUGCUUAGGGUUUACAAGAAAUGGAUCAAUCAAUCCUCGUUCCAACUUCGCUUGGUGUUGGUCGAUACAUCGGUAAGUUAUCUACUGUGUCAUGUGUAAUUUUAUCUCUCAAUUUAUCAUAAUUACUUAACAUGCAAUUCACAAUUGUUUAUUAAAGGGCACCCAAAUUGAGGCAAUAAUCGAUCGGAGUUUUUCUAAAUUUUACUAUGAAAAAAUCAAAGAAAAUCAGUGGAAAACCAUAACAACAUUCCGUGUUCGCCCUAACUCGGAAAAAGUUAGAGCGACCUCUCAUACUUAUGGGAUAUGGUUCGUCGAUGAAACUUGUGUCACAUCUGCUGAUCCUAGAGAAACUGUCCUCUUUAAUAAUUUCACACCUUUCGACUACAUUGUUGAGGACACUGUCCCAACAAAUACAUUGAUUGGUAAUUGGAAUUCCCUUUAAUUUAAACUUAGUCUUCACAUAUGUUUAAACGCUUGUACCGAUCAUAUUAAUCUUUGUGUAUUUCAGAUAUAAUUGGUGCUGUCGUCUAUGUUGGUAGCCUGACCAAUAACGCUCCGGAUCGUGCUGAUAUCAAUGGAUACAGAAUUCCUUUCAAACUCAUGGAUAGGAAGUAAUUAUACAAUAAAUAUAUAUAUCCGUUAGGAAUUAUUUCAUCGUUUCCUACCUAAUUUGUGUUUAUAUAUGUUAAAAUUAUAUUUUUGAUAUUUUCAGCCAUGUAGUACUGAGAUGUGAGGCAACUGGGCAAACCGCCCUAGACUUUGACAGUAGCUACCGCAGAUUAGGUCAUCCGAAUAUUAUUCUUGCUCUAGCUUGGUGGAGGAUUGAUAGGUAUGCAGCAAGGCCGGAAAGUGUGAGGAUUGUUAGCCAUGGGCCUAUAUCGAAAGUUUAUUCGGAGCCAGAUAUUGAAGAAGUGAAAGAGAUCAAAAUGGUGGUCGAUUAACUUAUCCAAAAGCUAAAAAUAAUAUUCAUGUCUCUCUUAAGAUGAUUGGUGAAUGUUUUUGUUAAACUUUUUGUAAGGAUGUACUCUGAUGUAAUAUCUAACCCUUAUUCUAUCUCCCUUAUAUGUAGUUAUGUAUUAAGUUUUUGAUAAACCUUUGUUUAUUAUGUGGCCUUUUUAAUGAUUAUGUAAGUUUACAUUAUCCAUAUAACUUGUUCAAAUCCUAUCAGAGAUGAUAUACUUGCUACUACUACUUUAUAUUAAUUCAUGUUUUAAUAUAGCCUAAAACCAAUAGAAAAGGUUAUGGAUGGCUUACUAUCUGUAUUAUUAGAUAAAAUUAAAAUAACUUUCUAAUUUUUUUGUAAAAUUAGUUAUGAUUCAUAAAUACUAAUUAUUAUAUAAGUAUAAAAUUUAAAUAAGUUGUUAUUUUUCCUAUGAUUCAAGUCUCUAACUUACUAAAUAUUCAAUGGACAUGGAUGGAUUACUAGAUUUAUUUUUAGAUAUUAGUACAUAAUUUACCCUUAAUUAUUGGAGUUAUAUGUUAUAGUGACCCCCUGUUAAGAGUGACUGUGUUUUGUGAACUGAAAACCCUAUCGAGUUGAUCCAGAUGGACGAUAUACUUUGGCUAUAUAGACUUGGACACCUUAUUAACAAUGUAGCUAAUUAGGUCAACUCAUAUGUUAAAUAUAUGAUAUAUUAUUUGUGCGGGAAAUUUCCCCCCAUAAUGAUUUAAACUUUUCACUGUUAACUCUUCUUUAGUAAUGGAUUGGGUUUUAGAUUAGUUAUUGGGAUAAUUAACAAGUACACAUAAUCAAGAAACCAUUUUGUUUAUAAUUAUACAAACAACAUAAUUUAUUAAAAAGGUUUGUAUUUUUCAAAGUCGUAGAGAUGUCCAAAAAUAAGUAUCCAUAUCACAUAACAUAUUGUGAAUGGAAUGAGUUAAGGUGUCCAAUACUAAAAAUCCACGUUUAAAAAUAUUUAUAUUUAAAACGGCGUCGCAUAUAAUCAAACCUCCCCCAAACACGAUAAUCUGGAGCUUUUCUUUCCGAGAUUUUUUUCCAUAUAUAGAUUCUGAUAUUCCGGAGUAGGAAACACGAUGUCGUCAUGCGAAAGUGGAGGUGAGUAAUCUAUAAUUUAAAUGGUAAAAAAUUUGGAAAAAGCUAUUAUCGAGAUAAAUGAUGAUAUCUUUUUGAUCUGGUGUAGGAGUGAGCAACCUGUCCUCUCACACCGUGAGUGGAAUCCCUCGGCAAUGUACAUGUGGCCAAUUAUCUGUGAUGAAGACUUCAAAGACCCCGAAAAAUCCUGGUAGACUCUUUCAUUGUUGUCCUUACGGAUCGGAGGAGGUAAGCAGAUAAGCAACAUCAAUAGGAAAAUCUGAUUUAUUUGUUAACAUUUGAUUAAAAUUUUGUUUUGCCAAAUAUAGAGUAAGAAUCAUUUGUUUAAGUGGACCGACAUAUCCAUGGUUGAAGAGAUGGAAAGUGUUAAAAGGGUGGUUAAGACUCUGGAAGAAGACUUGGAAGUGAUAGAGAAGAAAUUCAAAGAAUUUGAAGAUUUUAAGGAACAAACACAGAAAGAGAUUGAAGGUCUUAAGUGUGGACUGUUGCUAUGUGGGAAAGAUAGAGAAGAUAUUUGUGUGAAGAACAAAGUAUUUAUCUUUGGUGGUUUAAUCAUGGCUUUCGGAUUCUAUGUAUUAUUCAGUUGAGAGUAGAGUUAGUAGAUUUAAGUAUGAAAUGUAAUGUAUGUGUGGGACUACUUAUUCUAUGAAUUAUGUUUCCAUUAUGUUUCAUCCGACUCAAGUAAUCCGAUUUGUUAAGACUCAGUUCAUGUGAAGGAUAAUAGAUAAGAAUAAUCCCAUGAAUUUCAGAGAAAAUAAUAGUUUGGGUACAGAGUACAUAAUAAAGAAAGGAAAACCAGAGUAGGUGCCAGUAUCCACAGGAAUAUAGUAGGAAAGAAGGGAAAUGAUGGUUACGAUUACAGAGAAAAUUAUAGUUUGGGUACAGAGUACAUAAUAAAGAAAAACAGAGUAGGCGCCAGUAUCCACAGGAAUAUAGUAGGAAAGAAGGGAAAUGAUGGUUACGAUUACAAACAGAAACUUGGGAAACAUGUAGACACUAGGCAGCAAAGUCAGAUGCAUAAACAGGACAGACAAGAUGCUCAUAAAUAUCCAUUGCAUAUUGACGCCUGAAAGAGUCAACGUGUUUGUCAGUGAUUUUCUCCAUUUGAUCUGGGAGUUUAUCGCUUGCCAUUAUCUCAAGAAAUUUCAUAGCAACCGGGCCACAGUCACCAGAUCUAACAUUCUUGUAUACACCAUGUAUUCGCCUCCACAGGAAAGGUUUUAGUCCAUGGUUCUGGGAACAUGCGGGCUUACAGUACCUCUGGAUGAGGUGUGGCAAAAGGGUAACAAGAGGCUCGAUAAAUUCUUUAACUUUUUCCUCCGAAUUGAGGUCAGUAUUUGGGUCGAGAAUUUCAACUUCCCAGACUCCUAGAUUGAUUGAAAGGCCUACCCAGUGGGAAGAAUUCCAGAUCAUAGGUACGUAAAUGGUAUCAAUGUCUGUGAACCACUCGGUGGUGGGGCCAACAAUAAAGCGUUUCAUGGGAUCGGACCAGCGGACGCGAGAUUUUAUUUUUGCUGCUUUGAAAGAUUUGUAUUUUCCUUGUAAAUGGUUAGCAAACCAUGGUUCAACAAAAGCAGCACGCUGUGUGGCAAGUCUUGUUGCAAGCCUACUAGAAAGUAACUCCACUAAAACCUCCAUGUGCUGUGGAAAGAAAGGCUAAUAUAUUAUUAUCUCUGAGUACUGGCUAAAUACAGAACUAUGAGUAGAAAAUAAAAUAUAGUUACCAGAGUUGAAACCCAAUUUUGAGGUUUUGCAAGCUUGAGGAGGAAUGAGUUGGGAAAUAGGAAUCCAGAAUCCGUAACAUGUUCCAUGAGAGGAGUAACAAGGAUAGUUUAGGUGCCUUAAUGACCACAUGUGAGGAUUGAAGAAAAAAAUUACAGUGUAUGCAUACGUAUUAGGAGCUGAUGAAAGGGUAUCCAAAAAAUGGGCAUAAUCUGUCUUUUUAGGAGUGGUAAAAGUUGGUAUGCCUCCAUUUUUGGUUUUGAUAAAAACUCAGCUACAAGAAUAGACUCAGGUUCCGAAAGAAUAGGUUUUUCUCUCGCUUGUGCUGGUGAUGAAUCUGAAACAUCAACUAAAUCCUCUUCUAUAGGGUCUGAUGUGUUAGACAGUUGCGAGUUAUUAUCCUGGAAGAUAAAAUAAAAUAAGCAAUCAUAAUACUGUUAGAUUAAAAAGACCAAAUUAGGAGGAAACAAAAUAGAAAGUACAUAUGAAAGACUAACAAUGGAAUAUUCUUUGUCCUGCAGAUAAAAGAGAAAUUGAAUUUUAAAAGUCAAUAUCAAUAUAAACUUGUUCUAUUUAUAAAAGGAUAAAAUUAUAAGUAAACCUGAUUAUCCACAAUGUUUUGUCCAUCAAUGUUUUCUCUUAAGAAGAUUUUACCCUGCACCAAUAUGGAAAACAUUGUAAAGUUAAUGGGAUUAAAUGGUAAGAAGUAAAGAAUGACUGAAAUAGUUCAUAGGCAGAGAUAAUAUGUCCAUACCUCAGUUGGGGAUGAUUGGUUGCUUAUCUCUGAUUUGGAUGUGGUAUCAAAAACAGGAUCCCCCACCAAUACCAAUGCCUACAAACAUAAAUAAUAUAAAUCAAGAAGGCAUUUAUACGGCGACCUCUAUAAUAAGGGUAUGAGAAGUUUUAAGGUAGACCAUAUUCAAAUUUGCUUGAGAAAUUACUGUAUCAGGGGUAUGAACAAUCUUUACGUGGUCCUGUGAGUAUAAGUAGAAAUACACAUAAGAAUUUGGGAAUUGGUAUACAAAAAACUUUAAAUACACGUCAUACAAUACUGGCAAAGUUUAAGAGAAGAGAAGACCUGCAGUGGAUUAUCUUCAGAGAUUGGUUGCAUAGGUGUAUCAAUAAUUUCCUGAGAUGCAAUAACACUAACCAAUGUUUCCUGAGUGUAUUAGCAAAAGGAAAAUGGUCAAAUAGAUAAGUCAAAACAAGUAUCCAUUAAUUCCUGACCAUUAUAACAAGACACACUCGGAAACUACUAUCUGUUUUUGAAGGUAUACCUUUAUUGGGACAUCUUCAGCAAAUACCAAAGGCUGCAAACAACAAAUAAAUCAAAUAACUAUCAAUAUUAUACUGGAAUGGGAUCAUAAUCAAUGUGCUUAACCUGUAAGAAUAGUUAGGUUGAACUGUUAAACAAGAGAGAAAAAAAACUGGAAUGGUCGCAAGAUGUAUAUGUGUGCAAUUAUACCUUGGAGCAAGAUGGAUUGUAUUCGUUACCGUCGAGAGCAGAAUGGGUAUUAAAACCAAGGGAAUCUUUGUUGGCAGUGUCAUAAAUGGGAUUUCCUUGAUGUGUAUCAGGCUUAUUAGGCUCUUCUGAUGGGAGUGGGGUAAUCAAGACAUCCAUGGGGUCAGCACCAAGCACCUGAUUGUCAUAUGUGAAGCAAUGAUUAAUUAAAGGGUAAUUUUAAAGAGUAGCAAUAAACCAGAACACAUACCGGGGUUUUAAAUGUCGUUCUUUCAAUGGAGUCCUCGACAAAACCAUCAACCACAUCAUGGAUGCCCAACUGGCCAGGAUACCCAAAUACCUCCCGGUAUUGUUUCCAGUUGUGCUGAACACCAUCACCAACCAAUAUAUCUCCAGGAGAUUGAGGUGCGACAUCCGAUAUAUUGAAAUUCUUUGGAUUGUGGUUGUUUAGAAAGGUAAAAAAUGUUUAAUAUUAUAUAGAUAUUGUUACACAAUAAGUAGGAAACAAAAAAGAUAUAACAGACAUACCUCCAUAUCCAAAUCAGUGUUAGUUUGCUCGAACCCGGAGUUAUAUGCUGACUGAUUGGUGUAGCCUUCAUUGUUGUUUGCCAUAGGCAAAUAAUUGUCUGAUUGUGAUCCGAAAUUGUCAGCAUUGACUUUGGUUGCGCAGUGAUCCUGUAAUGUUAAACCACUUUUUAUAUUAAUAUUAUAGUUAUAGUCAUAGCUAUGUGAGUGGUAGAAGCUAUAAACCUCCAUAAGAAAGCCUUCAUGUAUGUGUGGGUUUGAUAAAAAUUCAUUGCUUGAACGAUCAUUCUGGUAAGAAAUAGUAGUUGUUUCCAUAAGGUGAGGGGCAAACAGUGUCACUGAAGGAAGGGUAAGAUGUAUACCUCAUUGGACAUAUCAUCCGGAGUGGUCUGAGAUUUAACACGAACUUUAGCUUGCGUCAUGCGCCUGGAUCUAGAGGCAUAUUCACCACAUCUAGAAGAGAGUUUCCUAGAGCGCUUGAAUAUGAUUGCCUUAUUUCUUUUUUCUAGCUUCAAUACACGCUUUGAUAGCUCUGCCACUUGGUUUUUCAGUUCCACCAUUAAAGAAGACUUCUCAUCAUCACAUAGAGUUAGAGAAGACCGGCUACGGGUAGCAUAGCGAUGCUUUGAUUUUGGAGACUGAGACUUCACACGUAGUCGCGUGUUAGAUUUCUUCUGCCCUGGUUUCUUUUUUCGCUCGACAAUGUGCCUUUUAUGAACAACUGCGACUUUCUCUUUUGGGAUAGAAAUGAAUGGUAAUGAGUCAUCACCUCCUGGCCAUUCAGAUUUAUUGAAUUUAUUUGAUCUGAGUAUCAGUUCCAACAUAUAAGCUACUUUCUUGUCUUUCACCUCAUCAUCCCACUCCCCCCAAGAUUUGUCAACAUUUUGGCCAAGAAGAAUAUAAGGAUCCACUUUUUCCUGACCAAACAGAAGGGUAAAUUGAGUAACAAAGAGGGUAUGUAAAGAUGAAGAUACCAAGGUUGGAAACUUAUACCUUCAGGUGGUGCUCAAGAGCGUGUAUUUGAGAAAGAGAAAUUAAUUGUUUUGGCAGAGAGACUUUAUUCCAGUGUUGGAUAGUCAAUGAGGUGGAAUCAUCAGUGACCAAAUCAACCAUGCCAGGAAUGUUUCGAAAUGCUAGGAGUUGCAACGCAAGCGGAAAACCUUUCAGAUGGAAUGUGAUCUGCUGAAGUUGUUUGGCGAAAUUCUUCACAGGAUCAGUUGACACCAAUUUUUUCCCAGUGCCUGAUGGUAGAAUACACUUCCCGGGUCUCAUGGAUGCUAUUGUCUUCAUAAAUGACUCUCUACCCCAAGGGAAGGCAAGGAACGCUUCAAUAUCUGCCAACAUCUCAACAUAUUUAAAUGUGGGCCUCCCAGUUUGGUUUGAGGCUAUGAGGACACCAUCAACAAUGAGGAGAUACGCAAGCUUAACUCUGUGUUCAGGAGACAAGGGUUUUUUGGGGUUGAGGAGCAUUUUAGAUACAUCACCUAAGGUUGCGUCCUUAUCUUUCCCUAUUAACUCGUUCCAGUAACAAUCCUGCCCUUCAACAUAAGAUGGCUCACUUUCUGGAUCAUAGUCCUCUAGAAAUUCACCGCAGGGCAAACCAGUUAAAGCACCAAAUUCAAUUAGGGAAAAUCUCAGGGGUUGUCCACCAAACACAGUCCAUAAUUCAUACUUCUGUUUGGUUAUCAACUGCCUACAUAGCAAAGAAUGUAUCAGCUUGCAAGAACUAGGGCUUCGACUUACCGGCAAGUCGAAGAGAGGACCGAAGCAAGAUUGCAGAAUAGUGUCGAAUUCCGGUGUCCCAUGGAAAAUAGACCGGAUAAACGAAAGAAUGUCGGGUUUACAAUAGACAUUUAGCCUCGCUUUGGGAUAACGAUCAGUGGCGAAAAGUCGAUUAGGAAGAUUUGAAUCCCAUUCUGAAGAAGGUUGCUUUGAAGUCGAGGCUGCAGUUGGUUUUUGAACUGGUUAAUUGCAUAAAUUAGUUAUGAGAACAUGAGCAUAGGGUUCAAUAAUCACCUUCCAUUAGGGAGAUGCGUGGAGUUUCUGAUAAUGUAAACACUUCGAAGACAAUGAUGUACAGCACUACGAAAGCGAUGAAGUAGGGAAACCGUGCGACGGGGGUGAGUUGACCAAGGAAAUGGCGGGUCACAUUUGAGCUUUAAACGGGAGAAUGAAGAAACGGUAAAGAAGUUGGGAGAAGAAAUUAGGGUUUUUUACAGUAGGGGGGAAACCGUAACAAGUGGGGAGGAUAGAGACAGAGGCAAACCAGGUUCGGUUUGUUGGAAGAGAAACAGAACCGGCUGUAGAACCGGAUUGGAGGGUAUAAUGGAGAUUUGGCAACGUGAGAGUGCCUUCUCCCUUAAAGUGCCUAAAGACACAAAUAAGUUGAGGUAAGUGCCUUUUUAUGCAAUAAUUCCUUAAUAUAUUACAUGCUUCCAUAUUACCAUAAUUCCUAUGUACAUUUAAGGCACUUUCUUACAAGUUGGUUGUACCCAACUAAACCGAGCUGAUCUCCAGCUUCCUAUACAUUGCCUUGCCCUAAGCCAACGAUAAGCCGAAAUACAAAAGGGUCUGUCCCCGUCGCUGCUAAACAUAUGUGUCCAUAGGCCAUCAACUGGCCACGCCAAAAAAACAAUCACUGCAACAUAAACUACCGCUUCGUUGGUCCAAAAAGUUAUAGUCUCCAUCCACACAGCUGCAACACAUUGUAACAUAUUGUUUAGUACAUAUAACCAAUAAUUGUACUUCCAACAGAACAAAUAUAUGAUAUAUUUAUUUCAGGCAUGUACCUUAAGCUGGCAUGUUAGAGCAAGUUGCUCUGUUAUGACCUUGUUCACCGCAAGUAGAACACUUAUGCGGUCCAGUCUUUCGCCUUUUUGCACCCUGCAGAAACAUUAGAGACUGUUAGUUCCUAAAUUUUUAGUUUUUCUCGGCUAUGUAGAAAACAUAACUUCCUUCCUUACCGUGUACUGUCCCCUCGAAGGGAUCCUUCUUUUCCUUCUCCGACCAGGACCAUUCUUAUUUUCAGGUGGGAUGAACUGUGUUUCUUGCACAGCAGUUGGAAUUUCUUCGUCACAUUCAUUAGGCACAGGGAAGAUCAGCUUCUCGUAAGUGGCGGCAAAGACUUUUACCAUGUAGUGUUCACCUACCAAAGAAGGUACUUCAACGCGCUUCCUCCUUGCUGCAGCCAAGGCAUGACAACAAGGGACUUCCAGCUUUUGAAAUUGCAAACAAGUGCAGGUUUUCUGAGCUAAGUCCACAUAGUACUGCUUUGUUU